UUCCAUCUUUCUUACUAUCCUUUACCUAUUUGUGUCUUACCUUACUGUAGACUUAGUGGGUGGGCCGUUGAGGUCGAUGACGAUACCCGCUGAGGACUACUCUGUUUUGCAGUAGUUCUCACACCCAGUUGUUGCCACCUUUUUGCAGACCCGUCCGCUGCUGUUGCUGCUGCUGUUGCUGAUUCCGACCACAGUACGAAAAUUUCUAUGUAUACAGCGGGUAUGUUGGUGUGCUCGAAAAAACGUGGUAAUCUGAAGCGUAAUAAAUAUUUAGUUAGCAAAAUUGAAUUGUGCGAUUUAAUUACAAUAAUUUAAAAAGUGUGAGCCAAAAUUUUAGUACAUUAAUUAAAGUUAAAAACUAAAAUUUUACUUACCUUAAAUUGCCAAACAUUGUAAUUUAGCAUAAAAAAAAAAAUCAGUAACGAUACCAAAUAAGAAAAUUAAUUUACUAUUUUGUGUAUUUUAGUGAUACCAACGUUUCCCACUGAUUUUCUUUUUUUUUCCCAGCGGUGGUGGUGUAUUGUGCGGUCCCGUGCUGACGUGCAUGCGUUUAACAAUAUUUCUAACAAACGAUUCCAGAAUAAACUUCAAAUAUCAACCCCUCUGUUUCGUACUUUCUUACUUUAGUAUUAUAUACUAUAUGAUUUUAUUUUUUUCUUUUCGCCGACCCAUCCGUUAAUUUUUUAUUAAAUUAUAUACAAAAAACUUCAGAUAUUUCAUCUAUAGUUUAUCGAAUAUUUAUUUUAGCAUUCUUUAGUUUUAACUUUGUCACUAAUUUAACAAAAAAAAUUAGUGAAGAAAAUAACAAAAAGAAAAAAAUAAAACCACAAGAUACGAAAAUAAUACACUUUAAAUUAUAUGAUACUAAAGUAAAAAAAAACGAAACUACAGGAAUAAUAUUUAAAGUUUUCCCAACAAGAUCAGAAUAUGGUGAACCAAAAGAUCCCAAAGCAACAACUUUAAUAAGAAGCUAUUGAAUUUAUUAGGGAUAUAUACCAGUGCUUGUUUGGCUCUAGAUCUCAAACAGGAAAAAUUCUAGAAUGCAACAGGUAUAUUGAUGACGUGGCGUAACAAUCCAAUCAAAUGUAUUUUUUUAGAGAUAUAUAUGCCAUCGUGAUUAUAAAAAAAUAUUUUUAUUAUACUUUUAUUUAAAAAAAAAUGAAUAUAAUUGGCUUGCUAUUGAUGACGUGGUGCAAGUGUGACCGUAUAGAAUUCCUCCACAAACAGAGUUAGUCUUUUUGAACUUGGGGCUGUUUGGCCUGCUCAAAGAUAGUAAGGAAAAAGAUUUGCGCUUCCCAUUCGUCCCCAUCGCCAUCAAAUGAUUGAAAAUGUAACGUUUUGCGCUUGUAGUUUCUGUUUUCUGUUUCUGUAAUAAUUUUUUUUUUUGUUUUACUUUUACGUAAGAGUUUAAAAUAAUAAUAAUAAUAAUAAUAAUAAUAAUUAAUAUUAUGCUGUUUGUUUCGUUUAUUUUUUUAAGAAAUAAACUUAGCUAGACAUGUGAAGCAAUUAGAUUUAGAACUUAGGGUCUUAAAUAUCAGCCAUCAAGUAUUUAAUCACUUGCGUUAGAAAUGAUCGAUUUUCAUAAUAAUUUAUUAUUAAAACAAAUAACAAAGUGCUAGGUGUAGCUCAGUAAGUAAUUUGUAUCUUAUUAUCUGCAGUUUAUAAAAUUUAGGCCUUGUUUGGUAUUAUAUUUAGUUUUAAAUUUUUUAAAUAGAAUUUUAUGUAUUAAAAUUUGUGAAAGUGGACAGUAAAUUGUUUGCAAUCCUAUCUUACAAGUUUUUUACUUGACAACACAAAAAAUAAAAAUAAAAAUUUAAAGCAACCUUUGUGCUUCUAAAAUUUUUUUUAAAUAAAGUAUCAUCUGUCACUGAGCACUAUAAGCUAAACUAACUAUAGCAACAAAAAGAAGUCUUUUCUCCACUAUAUCAAAUUAUAUAAAAUUAACAUUUAAAAGAGUGAAAUAAAAGGGCAACAAUACAGAUUACAGAAUGGGAUCUUAGCAUAUUAAUUGUUACCUUUCUUAGUCACAAGUUCUCAUGGAAAACUGAAAUAGAGAUCACUAGGGAACCUGCAUUAGUAAAAUGGGAAAAGAUGAUAGUUGUUUCAUUAAUAUUCUACCUUAUCUAGAUAGGAAGCUUCUCUUUUUAUCUAGAUGCUCAAAAAAAAAAUUGAUGCAACACAAAUUACUCUUUGAAGAUAAAGCUGAAAUAUUUACUAUCCAAUUUCUUAUUUAUUUAUUUUCAUGUUUUUUUUUUAUAUAUAUAGUGAAGGAAAUUUCUCAAACUUAUCAAAUUCUUUUGUAGCUUUCUUUGGCUAUUAGAAUAAAUUAUCAGUGAUAAGUUAUUCGGUAUGAGAAUUCUCUUUUGUAUUUUGGAAAGUAUUAGUCUGCGUUUUACUCCUGAAAUGGCUUUGGCAUAUAUGGUUUCGUAUGACAACAUAUUUGUUUCACUGGUUUAUCGUAUUUUGAAAAAAUAAUUUUGAGGGCCAAAUAUAAUACUCCAGUAAAAUAGCCAUGCAUCUUAGCAGGGCUAAAUCUUUUCUUAUAGUUACGAGAAUUGUAUAAAGUAUAUUAAUUAAACUUGUAAAAAUAGACGGCACAUUCAAAAUUUAAAAUCAAAAUACUAUUGACCGACUCAAAUCAAUUAAAUUGAAAACUUGGAUAGUAAAAUUAAAAUUUUAAAAAAUUUAGAUAAAUUGAUUCAAAAUAGUCUAUAGUUCAGACAAGUUGUAAAUAUUUGUCACCUUUGAAAUGGGCUUUUGAAGGGUUGAGGUUUCAUGAUUAAGUUCGCAGGUCAAGCUCCAAUUAGGGUUUUCAGAACAUCACAUGUGCACGCAGCAGGGUGGUGUAUAGCUAACUGCAGUGACGAGGUAGAAUUAGCCAAUCAGGAGGUGUCAGAGUUACUACUUUAUUUUAAGUUAGGCAUCAUUUGGAAUUGCGGAGAGAUUGCGUUACGUGCGGUGAGAAAGUACGUUGAAAAAAUACUAUAUUUGUUUCUGUACAUAAUAUUGUAUUCCGCAUAUCGCGAUACGGUCCCACCGGAGAACGCAGAAAUAUAUUCCUAUAUGUUUUUACAUUAACUCUAUUUUAUCUAAUAGUGUCAGAUUUGCUUCAAUAUCAAACUAAGUGUUACUCAGAAGGCUAAGCAUAGAAUAAUUAAAAAAUAUAUAUUAGGCUCCGAAAAAGUUUCUUUUGCAUGGCGCACGAAGCGUUUAUAUAGUGGAAUACCCUGUCUCUUUCGAUUAACCAAUUUCAUUGACUAAAAUGAAAAGAGGAAUACCUAUCCGCUUCUGCACGGAAAAUCAAGCCAAAAUUCAUGUCAAGACUCACGGUAUCAGAGCCGAUGUUGAAACAAUCGUAACAAUCGUAACGUAGGGCCAGAAGUCUGAAGUCUGCACCUAGGACAAUAGUGGGUUAAUGCCGGACGUGUUUGAUUCGGAUUAUUCUAUCAGAAUUACAAAUAAUUCUGCUAGAAUUAUUACAUUUGAAUCGUCCGGUCAGUAAUUCGAUCGAUAAUAUAGUAUUACAAAUAGUGCAAGAUUAUUCUAAAAAUAUUAUCGAACAGGAGGUGAGUAUCUCGUAUUAAUGAUGGCAAAUAAUCUUGCAUAUUUUGUAAAUUAUGAGUUUACCUCUCCAACCCCUCAAACCCUUUUAACACAUUAUUUUUAUCCAUCUCUCUCUUUCUCUCCCUCUCUACUAUUAGAAUUACUAAAUUUUAUAAAUUGAGCAAAAUAUAGUAAUUUUAUGUACAUUGAAAUUCAGCAUUAAAUUGCUGCAUUAAAUUAACCAAACGCGAUAAUACAGAAUUAAUUGUAAUCCAGUUUAAAAAUCUUAGAUACUUAGUUAUAUCGCAAUAACCUGUUAUGCUAUAUAACACAAGCCAAGCGCGUAGUUAGUUUAUCAGCAAUUACAACAUUGCUAAGUUUAUUGAGUUCAUAAAUUUUGAGGCACCCUAGUAACUUGUUAAGGCCGAAUAAAUCACUUACACUAAAAAUGGAGAGGGUUCAGCUUUUAUCUAGCCACACUUUUGCUUCCAGCUUCAGCGGGUAGAAAUUGUAAUAAUAUUUGUAAUUUUAGCCAAAAACCUACCUAGCCCUGGCUUGAGCAGCUUAUCUGGCAAAGCCUCUAGCCAGAUCCAAGAAAAGAAGCAAUGGAAUAACUUGGUCGAAUCCCACCACUAAAUAUUCAUUCUUUUCCAACAAUAAAUUGUUUUAUAAUUGAUUACUAUUAUUAUUAGUUAAACAGCAAAUUUUUUCGAGAAUUGUUGCAAAUUAUUGCUACAAAAUUUAUAGCAAAAAAUAGCAAAAUAACAUAAUUUUGUAUUAUUGGAACGUCACAAACUGUUGCAAUAAAAAAAUUAUUUUAUAAUAAUUUAAUUUUUAGUAGAAUUAAAUUAUUAUAGUGUCGGGUGAAGAGGUACUCACUCAACUGGAAAGCUGAUUCUUCUGCAACUUGUUUUCUUCGUCAAAUUAUAUGUUGGCUUGGUGCUUCGAACAAAAGUUGAUCCAUGCCAUGCUGAGAAACACCAAUCAAACAUUCAACAGAAAAUUUAAUGCUGCUUAUGCUGCAAGCAAAAUCUCCAAACAUAACAGCCAAAUAGGAACAAAUAGUCUGUGAUUGAAGCUCACAAGAGUCAGAAGAUUGCAAACAAAGCUGCUAGUGUUUUUCCAAACAGUUCAGCUAAAAAAAAUCUCUGUACAGGCAAACAUGAACAAUACUGAGAAUCACUUUACUCAUACAUCACAGAAGAGCACAAACUCUCCAGAAAACACUAAUUUAAUCACAUUAAAGGACAGCAUCUCUAACUAUCAAAAUUUGCACCACCCAAGCACUCGGCACGCGAAAUCCAGCGCUCGAAAAGAAGGUUUAAGUCACGCAUCCAAAUAUAACACCGUUAAUUACUAGCAACAGAACGAAUGAAAAUUGAAGUUACAUGACAUAUACAAAAGAUUGUCGUGCAUAAAGGGAACAUUUCUCUUCCAAAUAUUUUGAACAGAAAAAGAAAAUAGGGAUAAUAGUUAAGUUAUUUACACACAAGUACUUUUAAUUCUACAAUGAAACCAUGUUUUAAAAAGAAUCUUCGAAUUAUAGUAGGACAUGACUAUGCAACACACAUGAGGCUCACCUAAAUCGACAAAAUGAUAAACGAACGAACAAACUACUUAAGAAUUUUUACUCGUCUCCAAAUUUUGUAAACCUAUGAUGUAAUAAAUAUAUUACUUGUUCUGAUCAGGCUUUGCAUUAGAAUUGUUCUGCUGCUGCUGCUGCUGCUGAUGCUGUUGCUGCUGUAGCUGUAGUUGUUGCAACUGAUAUAUCUGAGAAUUCAGUGAGAUUUGCUGAUUUAAGCCCUUUGAAAGGUGAGCUUCACUUAUCUCUCCAGUAGCAAGUUUCAGCCUCUGGACCUCUGCGGUAAGCGCUUCGUUCAGAGCUGCAGAGAGUAUCUAUCAUGUCAUGAACAUCAAGAGGAACAAAGAUUUAAUAAUGACUACGUAUGCCCCCCAAAUUAAUACGGCACUAAGUUACUAAGGUAAUUUUGGAUUUUUGCAAUUAUUACGGUAUUUUUUUACUUUUCUGUUAUUAAAAUACUGCUACAGUUUUAAAAUUGUUUGAUCAGUCAAUUAAUCUUGGUUUAAGGAAAUAAUGGAAAAAAAUAGAAAAAUGAACAACAAGUAUAAGCUCAAAUAGGCCCUUGCACACACAUACAUAUGCACACAUGCUUGUAUAUGAGUGCGCCUGGAGAAAGAUUUAUGCUACGACACUCCUCAAUGUCAGUCAACAUCCGUAUUGAUAGUCACACCAUUAAGAAAUGAUUUAGAGCAUGUAGUAUAAUGAUUACUUUUGGAUUUCUCAUUAUAGCAACCAAUAAUGGCUGAUAUAAUCAUUAACUGCAUAAAAUGAUACAAGUUGGCUCUAAGUGAACUAAUCUUAGGAACAGUUUAAGCUGUCUAGAUCAACAUUUGUGACAGUAGUUUUCAACCGAAUAAUCUUAUCCCCACUUUAAAAAGGUCUUUCAAUGAAUCAAUAUGCACAGUAUAAUUAUGUCCACUAAAUACAUUAACUAAAAUAUAAUUCUACUACCAUUUUUUUUACCAAAUAAUUUACAUGCCCAAGAUCCAUCGUAACAGGCUAACAGCAUGAAUUGUCAGUUCAUAGGCCCAGAUUGAUAUCAAGAAGCAAUAAGGCCAAGUACUUAUGAAGGUAUUCUAGACUAACUCAAAAUCUAAUACCUUUUGACCAGAGCUACCAAUGUGGUUCCCAAUAUCCUUUUUUUACUAUAACUCUCUCCCUCUCUCCAUGUGCAUAUAUAUAUAUAUAUAUAUAUAUAUAUAUAUAGAAUUGAUUAAAAGUACCAAGUUAUUGGUACUUGUAGAUUUUUAGCCAUUGGAUUAAGAGAUAUGCGGUUAGGAUGAUGUGGGCUCCCUAAGGUUGAAUGGGUGGUUGGUUGAAUAGUAUAAUCUAAUGAUUGAAAAUGAUCCGAGAAGUAAAUCUAACGGUAAAAAACUUACAAGCACCAAGUGCUUGAUGCUUUUACAAACACCAUAGCUGAACUCUAUAUAUAUAUAUAUAUAGAGAGAGAGAGAGAGAGAGAGAGAGAGAGAGAGAGAGAGAGAGAGAAAGAGAGAGAGAGAGAGAGAACUAGGCUGGAAUACUAUCAAUAGCACCAAGCUAUUGGAGCUAUUGAUUUUUUAGCACUUGGAUUGAGAAAUUGGUGGUUAGGAUGAUGUAGGCCCUCUAGAGUUGAGUGAGUGGUUGGUUGAAUAGUAUAAUCUAAUGGAUAAAAAUAAUCAAAGGUUUAAAUCUAACGGUGGAAAACUCGAUAACACCAAAUCCUUGGUGCUAUCGAUAGUACCCCAGUUGGACUUAUAUAUAUAUAUACUUAUAUAUAUAUAAGUAUAUAUAUACUUAUAAGUAUAUAAGUAUAUAUAUAUAUAUAUAUAUAUAUAUAUUAUUAGAUAUAUAAGUACAUAUAAUAUUAUAUAUAUUAUAUACUCUAUAUUUAUAUAUAUAUAUAUAUAUAUAUUAUAGAGUUGAGCUAUGAUACUUUUACAAGUUCACCAUCAUGGUGUAUUAGGUUUAACCAUUGGAUCUACUUUUUGAUUAUUAAUAGCCCUUGGAUCAAAACUAUUCACCUACCACCACUACCACCAUUAUCUCACCUCACAUCUCUCAUCCAAGGGCAAAAAUACACAAGUAUCACCCCAUGAUACUUUUACAAGUAUUCUAGCCCUACUCUAUAUAUAUAUAUAUAUAUAUUAUAUAUAAUAUAUAUAUAUUAUAUAUAUAGCUUAUAUAUAUAUAAGUAUAUAUAUACUUAUAUAUACUUAUAUAUAUAACUUAUAUUACUAUAUAUAUAUUAUUAUAUUUAUAUAUAAGUAGUAUAUAUAUAUACUUAUAUAUACUUUAUAUAUACUUAUAUAAGUAUAUUAUAAGUAUAUAUAUACUUAUAUAUACUUAUAUAUAUAUAUAUACAUAAUAUAUAUUAUAAGUAUAUAUAUAAGGAGUCGGCUACUAUACUAUCGAUAGUACCAAGGCGUGUUAAAUUGAUUUUCUACCGUUAGAUCUACCUUUGAUUAUUUCACCCGUUAGAUUAUACUAUUAAACCAAACCACCACUCAACCCUAGGGACCACUAUCAAUUUAACGCGGGACCACUAUCAUCCUAGCCGCACAUCCUUUCAUCCAACGGCCGAAAACUCAAAGUACCAAGGGUUUGUACUAUUGAUAGUAUAGUAGCAUAAUUCUAUUAUAUAUAUAUAUAAUAUAAUAUAUAUUAUAUAUAUAUAUAUUUGGUAGUCCGGUCUAUAUACUAUCGAUAGUACCAAGCCUUGGUACUAUUGAGUUUUCUACGUUAGAUCUACCCUUUGUCAUUUCCACCCUUAGAUUAUAUUAUUAAACCAACCACCCACUACACCUAGGGACCACUAUCAAUUUAACGAGACCACUAUCAUUCUAACCGCACAUCUUUUCUCCAACGGCCAAAAACUCAAUAGUACCAAGGGUUGGUUACUAUGUAUGAUAGUAUAAUAUAUAUAUAUAUAUAAAUUAUUAUCAUGUGUUUGAACAAGGUGCAGUUGAGCUAGGAUUACUUUUACAAGUUCACCAUCAUGGUGUCUAUUAGGUUUUAAGCCAUUGGAUCUACUUUUUUGAUUAUUAAAUAGCCCUUGGAUCAAACACUAUUUCACCUUACCACACCUACCACCAUUAUUCAACCUCACAUCUUCACUCCAAAAAAAGGGCUAAAAUACACAAGUAUCACCGCCCAUGAUACUUUUACAAGUUUCUAGCCUACUCAUAUAUAUAUAUUAUAUAUAUAAUAUAUAUAUAUAUAUAUAUUAUUAUAUAUACUUAUAAUAUUAAGUAUAUAUAUAUUAUAUAUACUUAUAUAUAUAACUAUAUCAUACUAUAUAUAUACUUAUUAUUAGUAUAUAUAAGGUAAUAUAUUACUUAUAUAUACUUGUAUAUUAUACUAUAUAAGUAUAUUAUAAGUAUAUAAACUUUAUAUACUUAUUAUAUAUAAUAAGUACAUAUAAUAUUAUAAGUAUUAUAUAUAAGAGUCGGUACUUACAUAUCGAUAGUACCAAGGCGCUUGUUACUAAAUGUUGUUCUACGUUAGAAUCUUACCUUUGAUUAUUGUCACCCGUUUAGAUUAAUACAUUUAAACCAAUACCACACUCAACCCUAGUGUGACCACUAUCAAUUUUAACCGGGGACCACUAUUCCAUAGCCCGACAUCCUUUCAUUCCAACGGCCGAAAACUCAAUAGUACAAGGGUUUGUACUAUUGAUAGUAUAGUAGCUAAUUCUAUAUAUAUAUAUAUAUAUAAUAAUAUAUAUAUAUAUAUUAUUUGUGAUGUCCGUCCAUAUACUAUCGAUAGUACCAAGCCUUGUUACUAUUGAGUUUCUUACGUUAGAUCUAUCCCUUUGAUCAUUCCACCCUUAGAUUAUAUUAUUAAACACAAACCACCACUACAACCUAGGGAACCACUAUUCAAAUUAACUGGAGACGCCACUAUCAUUCUAACCGCACCAUCUUUUCAUCCAACGGCGCAAAAACUAAUAAGUACCAAGGGUUUGGUACUAUUAGUGAUAGUAUAAAAAAUAUAUAUAUAUAUAUAAUUAUUAUCAUCGUGUUUGAAAAGGUGCGCGAGGCGCACUGCGAGCGCUCGCGGCGCCUCAAGAAGGUGAGGCGCACAGUGAUGUUAAUUUGAUAUUCUAUAUUAAUAAAAAUCCAAAAUAACUAUACAUAAGCUAAAUAACUAUAAAAAAAUUAAAAAAAAGAAAAACAUAUUGCAUAUAGGUUCUCAGAGUUUAAAAAAAAAUUAUUCGACUUUCAACUUAAAAGUGAUGAUUGCCAUGUUUUCAUUUGGCCUCAAGAAAGAAAGGGGCGGAAAAGAAGGAGAGUGCGUUGAGGAGAGGAGCGCGGUAGAUGGAUUUCAUUUAAGGGCCUUUUUUUAGGUUACUUUUAUAAUUUAUCGGACUUAAAAUAACUAAAUUUAUAGUUCCUUGAAACGAAUAACCCGAAAACUUUUAAUCCAAUUCAAAAAAUAUUAAAUAUGCCGAGACGCGCGCCUUAUUGCGCCUCGACGCCUCGCCUAGGGCGCGCGCUCAGGCCUAGGCGCGCCUCAACAAUAGACCCGCCUCGCCUUGCUGAGGCACGGGGCCCGCGCUCAGCGCUAGACGAGGCGUGCGCCUAUUCAAACCUGAUAUAUUAUAUAUAAUUAUAAUAUAUAUAGAUAGAAGAGGAGAGGGAGAGAGAGCAAGUUGUGGACUGGGCCUUAUUAGUAGCAAAUUCCAUUGUAUGCUACCGUUUUUUAGUUUGGAUCAACUCUUUCAUUAUUUUAACAUUGGGAUUAAAUACUAUAACGCCGAAUGGACCACUCAACCUAGCGGGACCACUCAAUCUAAGACAAUAUCAUCCUGACCCUACAAUUUUAUCAAGGGUUUAAAACUUGAUAGCAAAAGAGGUUUUACUAUAUAUAUACUUACAUAGAUUAGCGCUAUAGAAUAUAUAAUAGUAGAAAGCACCGUAUUUUUGCUAUCAAGUUUUUACGCUUUGGAUAAAAAAAUUGAUGUCAGGAUGAUAUUAGUUCGGUUAGAGUUGAGUGCGUCCCACUGGGUUAUGUAUUUAAUCCAAUGUUGAGAAAUAAUGAAAAGAGUUGACAGGCCGGAAAAAAACUAUUUCACAGAUGAGAUUUUGCUACAAUAGUUAGCCCACCAACGUCUAUUUAAUAUACUUAUAUAUAUACUUAUAUAUAUAUUAUAUAUAUAAUAUAUACUUAUAAGUAUAAUAUACAUACUUAUAUAUAUAUAUAUAAGUUUAUAUUAUAUAUAUAUAUAUAUAUUAUAUAAUAUAUAUAAGUUUAUUAUAUACAUACAUAUAUAUAUAUUAUAAGUUUAUAUAUAUACACAUAUAUAUAUAUAUAGUUUAUAUAUAUAACAUAUAUAUAUAUAUAUAUUAUAUAUAUAUAUAUAUAUUAUAUAUAUAUAAUAUAUAAUAUGUAUGUAAUAGAAUUGAAGCUAGAAUACUUUUACAAGUAUUACUCCCAUGAUGCUAUUAGGUUUUUAGCAUCGGAUCUACUCCUUGAUUAUUAAUUAGUCAUUGGAUCAACACUAUUCAUAACUAUAUAUGUAUAUACAUAUAUAUGUAUAUAUAUGUAUAUUACAUAUAUAUACAUAUAUAUGUAUAUAUGAUAUGUAUAUACAUAUAUAUGACUAUAUAUAAUAUAUAUAUAUAUAUAUACACAUGUAUUAUAUAUAAUGUACAUACAUAUAUAUAUAUUAUAUAGAGAGAGAGAGGCAGGGCUGCUAUGCUCUCAGGAGCACGGAGCCUCCUGCUCCUGAGCCGUUUUCGAUGAUGGAUUUUCGAAUCGACGAUCGCUCCAUUAGACUUGAUCUAGCGCAUUUUGAAGUUUCUAGAAAAAAUUUUUGUGAUUUUUUAAUUCAUUUACCUAAGUGAUCGAAAGGAUUAAAUCUAUAAUUUUUAAUGGUUUGAUAUCUGCCUUUUCAAGUUUACGGUUUAGAAGUAUUCAAAUCAAGAUGAAUUUUGAUAGAAAAUUUCUUUAUUAUAUCUACAACAAGAAUCAAUAUUUCUGAUCGAAAUUUUAGUCUUAUAUCACCACUUUUUAUAGGAUUUUUUUUCAGCCCGUUAUAAAAUUAUUGAUUUUGAAUCUUUCGAUUGCUAGGUAAAAUAAUAUCGAAAAUCGCAAAUUAUUUUCUAGAAACUUUAAUACACUAGAUCAAGUUUAACGGAGCGAUCGUCGAUUCGAAAAACUCCAUCAUCGAAAAGGCUCAAGAGCACGGAGGCCUUCGCUGCUCCUGAGAUGCACAGCAGACCCUGCUUAUAUAUAUAUAUAUAUAUAUAUAUAUAUAUAUAUAUAUAUAUAUAUACUUAUAUAUAUAUGCUCACAAUUAGCACCGAGAUAACAGAAGAAAAUAACUCUCCUAAUUUAAACUCACAAGAUGAAGAGAGAUAAACAAAGGAAUAGACCAAUGAUGGAUAAUAAUAGCACUCAAUCCACAGCAGAAAAGGCAAUAACUUGUGUCUUCUCAGAAAGAUAGGGUCGGUCAUGGGUGAGUUCUUGUUAUUUUAUGACUGAAAAGGCGACAGCACCAUGUCCGCCGCUGAAAUUCUUUUGUUUUUUUUUGUUUGAAUUUUCCUCAUAAGUUAAGUAAAAAUUCCAUUAAAUUUAACGGCUCAAUAAGGCAUUAGUAUUUAUUUAAUAAAUCUAUUUAAAUUUGCUAUAAAGUAAAACUAUUAAAUUUGAUAAAAUCAUCAAUGAGUUUAAUAAAACUACUUAUUUGACAACUUUAUUCCAAAAAAUUAGUUUAGGAAGUGUCAAUCGGAAAAAAAAAUAAAAAUAAACAAGUUCAGGGUUACUCUAGAAUGGCCUAUAGUUAAGGCCUUAAGGGGGUCUCCAUACUAAUAUUUUUUGAAAUUGAGUGGGUAUAGUCAGAAAGAUUAAGGAUUCUCUAAUUCAUGGUGAUUGCACCAGAUUUAAUAUCUUACAGUCGUUUCUUAGCAAAAGAACUACACAAAUUAACAGUUAAUAGCAAAUAGAGUUAUUAAACUUGCCAAAAGUUUUAACAUAACUAAGUAUUAAAUAAAUCAAAUAAAAGAAUAAAAGUUUGAGAGAUGGGGUCCCAAUCAAAAAAAAAUAAAAGUUGAGUAUAUUUUGAAAUGGCCAAUAGAUAAGGGGGUCACCAUACAUUGUCACCUCUAAUGCCUCAUGCGGUGGAGAGAAGUUAGGCCUCGCACGCGGGGAAAAGGGGUUUAUCACAAAGUGAUUGAUCUCCAUAACUUCUAUUUUUUGGAGGUCGAAGCAAUUUUUCUUUUUACAUUGGUUUAAUAGGAUUUUUACUCAUUAUUCUAGUAAAAUAAAAUAAUCCGAUUGGUAUGCAAACACCUCCAAUGCAGAAUGUAUAAUACAGUUUUAAAAACUAUUACAAAUAGCUUAUUUUCAAGGUAAUUCGGGGUACCCAAACGAGCCCUUAAAACUUUAGAUAUCAUGAGGCGUGCACCUUGCACCUCAGGCACGGCAUCAUGCCUUGGAAACAAACAAAAAAGCAGGCUAUUGGGAAAAGACAAAGAUGCUAACAAUCAUAAACCACUCAAUGCUGUUGAUAAUGGGGAGCAAAUGUGAGAAGACAUACAAAAUAACAAUUAAGGAAAUGUUUGAUUCUUCCAUUAAGUACAUAAAUUUGCCUUAUCAAAACUCAAAAAGGAUGCUUAAUAUAUUGCCUAAAAAUUACGUAGGCGAAAAACAAAGAAAAUCCCCCAAAAAUAGAAGAUCCACCAACAAAUUUGUAUUUGGCAAAGCAUAAACUUAAGCGUAAACUUGUGCUGAACUUGCUAGACCCAGUCAUAGCGCUUGUUGGAUUUAGAUCUUGCAAAACAUUGUCUAACUAGGGCAACUUCUUAGGAUAGUACAUUCCACCCAACAUAUGAUUUAUCAUGUUUCACAAAAAUUUAUCUAGAGGUUGUAUAUAUAUUAUGCAAUUGUAGCUUCUACUAUGCUCAAUGAACCAACUAUAUGCUCCUAAGUAAAACAAAAGAGAAACAGUGAACAACAUAUUCAAGUGUCGAACCCGGCCCUAAGAAAGAAGCAAGAAUUUUUAUAACUAGAAAUGACACAUCAGUCCACGGCAGGCAUGCUAACUAAGGCAAUCAAUUGUGAACUCUUAGAUAAGGUAAAGCAAGUUACCAUCUCUUAGCUGUGCUUGUUGCUCCAUGGCUUGAAGGCGGAACUUCAACUCAUUGUUUUGACUUGUAAGUCCAGCCGAGUCUCUCUAUGAACAACUCCAAAAUUAGAGGAAACACAACUAUGCAAAAGAAAAGAAAAAUGGCAAUUAUAACAAAGUCUUUCUAUAAACUUUCAGACAAACAAACCUGCAACAAUGUCAACUGUGCCGACAAUGUUGUCGCUUCUGUCUGCAAAAUCUGAACCUUAUGCUCCAGCUCAGAAAUGUAGCGCAUCUUUCUUUCCUUAGAACGAGCGGCAGAUUGUCGGUUUGCCAAAAUCCUGUAAACAAAAUUUCACAAGUUAAACUAAGCCGACCAAACCUACCAUUGUAUUGCACGAAAUGCAUGUUCGGCCUGGCUUCUAGAAAAGUUUAUCUGCUCUGAAGAGCGAUGUAUAAAAGUUUGGCAGACACGAAACGCGGGCUUUUUGAAGCUGAAAUGAGCUUUUGAACACGGAAGAAUUGCUGCGCUAAGGGAAGCAGUCAGGAAUAAUACCAAUCAAAAAGCUAUUAGCUCUUUUGCGAACAACUAUACUCAACAUCACUUCCACACAAGCUCAUGCCACGCCAACAAGCUUAUGUAGAAGUGCUGUUUGAGCAGAGAUAUAUGGUAAAACCUCGGUAGAACUUCUUCAUUACAAUCCUUCAAACAGCUCACUCCUGCAGCUAGCAUCAAAUUAGAAAUUGGAGCUUCCGCAUUUGGACUCCAAAGCCCAUACAGCUUCCCGCUCCAGCAGGAAGCUUCAAACUUUCAAUAAACAGGGUCUGAAUCGAGCCCGGGGAAUGCAAAAGAGAAGACCUCUUGACUCGUUUGGGAUCGGUCAGUGCCAUCUCCGCAAGCUUGUCAUUCUCCAUAAUCUUCUUCAUCUCAGCGGGACUAAAUUCCCCAUUCCCGAACUCCAAAUUGAACUCAUUGGUGUUCUCAUCCAAGGAUCCGCUUCGUGUGAGCAGCCCCGCCUGGCCGCCAGGGGACGGAGACGGUUUCGGCGAUUCGUCCUCAAAAUUGAGCUUGCCCAUGAAACUAUCCACGGAUACGCUUCUCACAUGGCGAGGGUUCACGGGAACCGGGUCUCCGCUGGCACUCCUCUUGGUCCCCUCCUUCUUCCCCGUCGGCAGCUUCUCGCUGACGCUGCUCUCGGCCUCGUUAUCGCUGCUGUCGUUGUUGGUCCUGGUGCCGCUGGCGCGGCUAUCCAAGUCCUCCCUCUUGUCCUCCGUGUUGCCUGAGGAAUUCAGGGUUUCCAAGCUGUCGAGGUUCAUGUAGGCGUUGAAGAGAUCGUCGCCGUCGGCAUUGCUGUUCGCCUCCCGCUCCCAAUCCGACGACUCCUGCUUCACGAAGGGCUGCUGCGGCGGCGGCGGCGGCGGCGACAGCGGGGGCCGUCUUGGGGAGGCGUCGAAGAGCCCGUGGCCAGUGCGGUGGGGGAGGGGCGGGGGGGGGUGGGGGGAGGGACGAGGAGGAAGGGGAGGUGGAGGGGAGGAACCCGAAGGAGACGUCGCUGUGGGAGCGGCGGUGCGCCUUGCGGGGCGGGAGCCCCUCGGCUCCGCCGCGCGCCGGCGCCGCCCUGCCGAGCGGCGGCGGGGUCCCACCGCGCUCCUCCGGCGCCGCGCCGGAGAAGGCGAAGGCGAAGGCGAAGGCGACGGGCUCAAAGGGGGCAACGAGUCGAGCGAGAAGAACGCGGGUGGGACAGCGACCGCGAGUGCCGCCGCCAAAGCCAAAGCCAUGGGCGGAGGGGGGCGGAGGAUGUGAGAGGUAGGGGGAGGAAGAAGACGAAGACGAACCGAAGCCGAAGCGAAGCCGAAGCGAAGCCGAAGCGGACAGAGAGGCAUCUGGGGGGGCCGGGGGAAGCCUAUGGGCCCGAAGGACCGAGGCCCGUCGCCACGUGGCGGUACGGCGCGUACGGACCGCCGAUUUGCUGCCCCGCGGCUCACGAGCUUCGGCAUCGGCGCCGACGCCGACGCGGCGGUCGAAGGCGACGAUCUCAGCGUUGGAUCAAGUCGCCCUCGUCCAUUUAUUUCCCACUCUCUCCUCUCCCCUCCCCUCCCCUCCCUCCCCCCCUUCUUUCUAGAAAUUGGGGUUUUGGAUCAUAUAUAGCACCCCCGGCGGAGUAGUCAAUGCGGGAUUUUACCGGCGUAAGUCUGCGCCGGAUUCGGGCGGAGUAGUCGAAGCGUCGCCGACUUCUUCUUUCUUUCUUUCUUUCUUCUGCUUCUUCUUUCUUUCUUCUCCUUCUUCUUUCUCCUCUCCCUCUCUGGGCACACUGUUGCGCCCCCACACUCCCCCCUCUCCGUGUGGAGACAAAAAAAAAAAGAAAAAACAAAAACAAAAGUUAUAGCAACCGUUACAUGUCACGGUCAAUUCACUGCCGAGUGGGCCCCACGUGGCAUGUAACGGUUACACGGAGGAGCCCCUCCUCUUUGUAGGCUCUCUCUCUCUCUCUCUCUCUCUCUCUUCCCUGCUUGGAAAUACGCGUAGCAUAAUUCUUCUAUAUAUAUAUAUAAAAUAUAUUUUUUUCUUUUUUUUUUUGCAAAUUUUUCCAUUUCAUUUUCUUGGUGACGCGUCGGCCGCUCUUUUGACCUUGUAAUUUUUGAUUUAGUAGUAAUUUUACGCUCGCUUGGGAUUUCACCAAAAGCGGCCGUGAUUUGCGGCCCCGUGUUUAACUCAAUUGGACCGGUCCGGUUCGAACCGCCGCCGAAACCGGGUUCAUUACUCAAAAAUUCAGAAACAUAAUGACAAUAGAUUAAGAUGAAAAUAAAUAGAGGCUGCCCUACUGUUUAAUCAAACAUAUUAAAAAGUUUAAUAUUAAAAUCAAAAAUUUGAAAAAUUAUUCAUAGUUCAUACAAGUUUUAUACAUUUUUACCCUUUUUCUUUUGAGCUGCUAUUCUGAAAUAAACACCUCAAUUUUAACUAUUUUUUUGAUUGGCGCUUUUUAAGUAUCUAAUUUUUCAAAAAUUUUGAGUUAUUCUAGUUUGUAGAGUUAAAUAGUUAAUUAAAGUUCAUAGUUCAAUCAAGUAUGAGCAGUUUAUUAAUCUAAUUUUAUUUGGUACAACUAAAUUAAACUACUAAAUUUGAUAAAAUUGUGUAUAAAUUUGAUAAAUUUUUAAUUAAUUUAUCUAAAAUCAUUUUAAUUCUAAAAAAAUGUUUAGGAGCUAUUUCAAAAGUGCUUUUCGCUGAGGGGUCACCAUAUAUUUUUACCAUAAUUUAUAAUUUUUUAGAUAAGGUAAUUUUAAUCAAAUAUAUUCUUUAUAAUUUUUCUAAUCCAAGAGUGAUCUGGCAAAAUUUAAAAGCAUACCUUAAUAAUUAGUGGAACUAUCAAAUUUUAAAAAUUUUGAAUUGAAAAGUUCUUAAUUCAAUCAAGUAGAAUAAUUCAAUUAAAAAAAUUAAAAAUCAAGGAGGCAUUUUGAAGAGAAAAAAAAAAAUGAGGCUCAUAUUUCAAAAGCUCCUAUAACUGAGGGGUUCUUAGUAGUUAGUACACAAUGUCACAGUAAAUAAGAUAUAAGCAAUGCUACAUCUACAGUAAGUUUUUGAUUGAUCUUACAACAUCUCUGUCCAACGGCUAAGAUUCUCCUACUUAUUUUGUAUAUUCUCCUUAUUUUAAAUACUAAAUUUAAAAGAAAAUAAGUUCAACACUAAGGAAAAAUAUCUCAACCCUUAGAUGAGGAUUGUAAUCUUAACAAUACUUUUUUGAAUCGUAGAUUUAGUGUUUCUUAUAAAGUUCCUCAAACUAUGAGAAAAGGAACAUUCUUGUUUUUUAAUUUUAAUUUACUAUAAUUUAUGAAUCGAGUUUUGUAAAUUUUUACAAUCACAUCAUACAAUUCAAUUUAGUUUAUUUAAAUAUUAACAUAUUGCUUAUUUAGAACCGAUGUGACAUCUCAAUUAUUAUUAUUGUGUCAUCAAUCAUAACACUGUUAUAUCACUUUUAAACUAAUGACACAUUAAUAUUAAGUUAAUUAAAUUUGAUUAUAAGAUAUGCCCCUAUCAAGUCAAAAAAUUUGAACUAGAAGUUAUAAUAAAUCAAAAUUUUGAAGACAAAGGUGACACAUGCCCCAUAAUUUGAGGACCAAAAGUAUAGUUUAGCCAAACAAUUUUUAUAUUAUCUAGCACUGUCAAUUAAGGUCUUGAUAAUUAGUGUCCGAAAUUCCAAAUUGAAAGUGGUUACUUUAUAUUUCUAAUUUAUUUUAUUGGCUAAAUUACAGGAAACUUUUCUGUCAAUACCCAAUUUUUCACUUUUCUCAAUGUCAUUCAAAAAUCUACACUUUGCCCACUAAAAAAAAAAAUUUCACUUUGACCCCCGCCGUCAGUGUUUUAUUAGGGUUUCGUUUAUAUCCUAUUUUUUAUACUCAAAAUAUUCUUGAAACUCUCAUCCUUCUUCACCGACCUUGGCUGGGUCACCUGGCCUUCCGCCACCUUACCCUCGUUCACUCUUCUGUCCAUGUCCACACACACAUUCUCGCCCUUCUCCACCACCUCUCCCUCGCCCUCACCCAUGUCCACCUCUUCGUCCACACCCAUCCUAAUUUUUCUCCCUACAGUUGCCGAAAUGAAAGGGCGGUGAGGAUGCUGGAGGAGCGAGGGAGUAUGUGGAGGAAGCAGAGUCAAAACUGAAGUCGAGAGAGACACGAAGAACGGAGGAGGAGAGUCUGCGGCUGAGGAUAUGAGGUUUCGGAUUGGGAAGAAGACGAAAAGGAUAAGGAGUAAUUUGGUUAUUUUGUUACAGCGUACCCUCCUAUGAAUAUUUUUUAUUUUUUAAUGAUAGAGUAUAGAUUUUUGAAUAACAAAGAGAAAAAGUAAAAAAAUUGGAGGGAAAUAAAAAACUCCAAGAGUAGAAAUAAACAAAGCGGUUUACUAUGCUAAUUUUCUCUAAAAAAUAAAUAAAUAAAUAAACUCCAAGAGUAGAAAAAAAAAACAAUAAAAAAUAAAUUGUGAACGGGUGCCGGUCUAAGUGGACCGGGUCGAAUAAAAAAAAUCGCAGUGGAGGGGAAAUUGCCGCAGUAUCAUCGAAUUAAUUGCGCGGGCUCUAAAGGGCAACAACAUUUUCGUUAUUCCUAAUAUAUCCCCAACCAGUUAAUUACGGAAAUUAUGUCGGCCAAAUGGACGGUGGAUACGAAGGGGAGUGGGAGCAAUCCAACCGUCCGUAUCAGCUCUACUACAUGAUUAUAUCCAAACAAGGAAAUCCGUCACCGUGAUCCACGCCAUAUAUUUUGGAAAUAUAAUUAAGAACAAUUAAGUAACAAUUUAGUGGAAAUCGUACGGCUUAAGAAGAUAAUCUCGUGGCGUUAAUUACCUUCCAUUUGUGAAUUUCGACCGUUGGAUAAAGGCAAUCAACGGCAAUAAAGGAAGGAGAUUUGCGGAGGAUAGGAUUGGUUGAUAAUGUCGGCACGUAGGGUGACCGUCGUUUUUGUCACCUAUAUUUCAACUGAUCAAUUUUUUUUAAAAAAAAUAUAAUAAAAAAUAUUUUUAAAAAAAUUUAUGAUGUUAUGGAUAAAAUCUAAAUAUUAUUGCUUAAAAACACAAUAUUAUUUGUGUGACUGCGACAUUUUAGAUUCUUUCUAUUAUUUACGUUACAGUUUUAGAAUAACUUAAAAAAAAGUUAUAAAUAAAUAUAUAAUAAAGAGGUGGGGAGACUCUACAGCAAUGUUAUCUGUGACUGUAUACUACAAAAAGACCGGGGCCAAAAAUUAGUUAGUUUUUUUUUAUUUUUUUAUUAUUAAAUUAAAAUAAAUUAAAUUUUAGAAUAUGUAUGUAUAAAAUAAUUAGUAUAUAUAAAAACCAAAAUUUCAAAGUGAUUAGGAAUUAAAAAAUAUAGAAUUUAAGACAAAAAAAUUGGGAGAUUGUUAAAAUGAAUUAGUUAAUGAAAGAACAACGUUAUUUAUACAUCAUAUUAGUAAUGUACAUCUUACACUUUUUUUUCAUUCAAGGGUUUUAAUUUUCUUUUGAUACUAAAAAUUCAAGAAAUUUCUAAAUUCUUGGAUGAUCGUAUAAAAUAUACACUCCUCUAGCAUUAUCCUUUAUAAAAAAAUUACGCUUACUGUAUUCUUUUUUUAUUUCAUCAUAAAUAUUAAUUGUUAAAUAGGAUAUUAAACUAUUACUUUUUGCAAAUCACAAAAUAUCAUAAGUAUAUAUAAUAGAAAGAUAAAAUAUUAUAUUGUGCUUUUUCGUGAUUUAUACAAAGUAUUAUUUUACUAUUCUAAUUUUCGGCAAGAACUAAUGAUGAAAUAAAAAUAAAAAAGUAACAUUACAUAAUAGUCAAGUCUAAUUUUUUAUAGGAACAUCCUAAAAUUUACUGGAAGCAAAUUGAAGUUUAUUCACAUUUCCUAGUUCGAAUCCUAGUUCAUUCACAUUUUCAAUUAAGUUUAUUUCUAAAUGAAAUAAACGAAACUGGUAGCGUGCUAUCUAUCUCUCUAAAAAAAAAAAAUUGUAUAUUUAUUCCCAUAAAAUUUUAUAUAUUCCUAAAAAAAAAGUUUACUUUUUAAAUAUAUCCCACUAAAAUUAUAUAGUUUACAAAUAUACUUUUCUUUGUUAGUUAAUUGAUUAAAUUUGACUUUGCUUUUAUAAAAUAUUCGUUUUACUCUUGAAUUAAAAUUUGAAAAAUUAUAUUUAAUAGUAGUUAUUAUUUUUAAAAUACAUAGCUAAUACUAUUUAUUAAUUUUACUAUUUUUAUUAUAUACUUCAUCUCAUUUUAUUGUGACGAGUCUUUCCAAGGAGAUCAUCAAUUCUAGAAUUAUUCUAGCCCUAAUAUGCUCAAAUUAUUAUAAUGGGAUUUAGAAACUUCAAAGUAUUGGACAAUAUAAAACUCGUCUCACUAAGCUUAGCCGACCUCGUUGGAAAUCACGCUCCACCCACGAUAGUUGUCAACCAGAGAGCCGCGUUUUGUCCGCUAUAUGAUACUCGCUAGUAAAAAUUAAAAUUUAUAAAAUUAUAGUUUUAAGAGAGCCAAAUUAAGUUUUUUUAAUAAAUUUGUGUCCCGAUUUUAUCUCUUUUCAGCUCUUACAGUAUUACUUCUUUUUAAACACACCUAAUAAAUUUUUAUUAUUACUAUUUUUUUUUUUUUUUUUUUUGUCAAAUCUAAAUUUUGACAUUCCAAGCCUUUAUAUGCUGAUAAUAAUUUGUUUUCAAAUCAAACUGUACCUUUUACGGGAUAAAUGGUCGGUCGGCGCCUCGACAUUCGGGAUGAGGUGACGUCACAGGAUUGACUGGGACCGUUGGUCGAACGGACUGGUACCGCGAGCACGUUCUCCCCCAUGCAACGUGGCAUUCAGACCGAAAACGACCCUCCCCUCUAUUAGAGGCGCAAAUCAUGUGACGUGGGGAUUAAAUUAAAUGAGUUAAUGAGUUAAUUUUAUAGAGAUUCCUACGAAUAAUGUAAAUGAUAAAUAUAUUUUUAUAAAAUUUAAUUUUUAUAUAUUAUUUUUUAAAAAAUUUUAAUUUUUUUAAAUAAAUCUCUAUUAUUAGAAUUCGUAAGAAAAAUUUAAUUAAUCGUAUAUUGAAUAUUUAAUACUGGUUAAUUUUUGAUAUUUUUGCCUUUUUUAUAUUAUACUGUUAUGACUUUUGGAGGAAUAUAACUCUGAUGGCAAAAUUGAAAUAUAAAUAGUAUUCUAACGGUUUUCUAACAGUAUCAAACCAGAUGCAGAUAGAUAUAUUUAAAAAUAUUAGAACUUUUGUAAGGACAACAUAUGAAAAUUAAACUUUAUAUGAAUAUUUUUAUAAUUUACUAUAUUUAUAGGGAUAUGUAUGAAAUAAAUCUAAAUUAAAAACUUUACCAACCAUUCAGUUGGACCAGUUACUAAAUCACCCCGGUUUAUAUUUGCGGACGAUUUGGGCGAAGAAAUUAUGGCCUACACACAAUUUUUUUUUUUUUACUUUUUUUAGUGAUUAACUAUUUAAUAAAUCCGUGCAAUACUGCAUAUAUAUAUAUAUAUAUAUAUAUAUAUAUAUUGUGCUGGUAUGCUUCUGGAAACACGGAGUCCCCUGUGCUUCUAAGUUGUUUUUGAUGUUCGGACUUUCGAAUCGACGAUCGGCUCCGUUAGAGUUGAUCUAGAGUAUUUGAAGUACCUAGAAAAUAAAUUUUGUGAUUUUACGAUUUCAUUUGCCUAGUAAUUGAAUGGCUCAAAAUCAAUAAUUUUAACGACCGUGGUGAGCCAUUUGCAAGUUUAACGGUGUAGAAAUAUCCAAAUCACAUGAAAUUUUGAUAGAAAAUUUUUUAUACCGUAUAAAACAAGAUCAAUAACUUUGAUAUAAAAUUUUAAUGUCAUAUCAUCAUAUUUUGUAAGAUUUUUUGUUUUCAGCCGUUGAUUUUGAGCCACUUCAAUCACUAGCAAAUAGAUAUCGAAAAAUCGCAAAAUUUAUUUUCUAGAUACUUCAAAUACUCUAAAUCAAGUCUAACGGAGCCGAUCGUCGAUUCGAAAGUCCAAACAUCGAAAACAACUUGAAAGCACGGAGCGCUUAGUGCUUUCAGAAGCAUACCAGACGCUUAUAUAUAUAUAUAUAUAUAUAUAUAUAUAUAUAAUAUAUAUAUAUAGUAGGGCAACUAUACUCUUAUCAGUAUUGGGCCCUUUGUACUCAUAAGUUGUUUUCGAUGAUGGAGCUUCCGAAUUGACGAUUCACUCCGUUAAAUAUGAUUUAGAGUAUUUGAAACUUUUAGAAAAUAAAUUUCGUAAUUUUUUAAAAUCAUAAUAAAAAUCAUAGCGGGCAUAAAAUGAACGGUCAAAAUCGAACGACGUCCUAAAAAUGGAUGAUUGGAUCCUUCAAUUUAAGAUCGGAGUUAUUGAUAUUUAUCUAGGUAGCGAAUAGAAUUUUCUAUCAAAACUUCAAUCUAUUCCGAUUCAUUUACACCGUUAAACUAGCAAGUAUCCAUACCGGCCAUUAAAAAUUGUCAAUUUUGUGAGCUUUUGAUCGUAAGGCAAAUGAUGUCGAAAAAUUAUGAAAUUUGAUUUCUAGAAGUUUUAAAUGCUCUAGAUAAUGUUUAACGGUAUGGAUCGUCGAUUUAGAAGCUCUAUCAUCGAAAACAACUUAUGAGCACGAAGACGAUGUACUCAUAAGAUACAGUAGCGGACGUAUAUAUAUAUAUAUAUAUAUAUAUAUAUAGUUGAGCUAGAAUACUAUCGAUAGCAAAUCAGCACUUUUGCCACCCAUUUGUUUUUGAUGAUGGAGUCUCCAAAUCGACGAUCGGCACCGUUGAACAUGAUCUAUACCAUUUGAAGUAUUUAGAAAUCAAAUUUCAUACAUUUUCAAUAUUGUUCUCUUAUCUAUCGAAUGGACACAAAAAUAAACGGCUGAAAAUGAAUAUUUCUUAAAAAAAAUGAUGAUAGGUGUCUUGUAAUCAAGAUCAAGAGUACAGAUCUUGUUUUAAAUAGUUUAAAGAAUUUUCUAACAAAAAUUCAAUUGAUUUGGAUAUCUUUACGCCGUUAAAUAAGAAAACGCCUCAUAUCGACCAUUAAAAUUACAAAUUUUGAAACCCUUUGAUCAUUAGGCAAAUGAUGUCGAAAAGAUUUGAAAUUUGAUUUCUAGACACUUCAAGUGGUAUAAAUCAUGUUCAACGUUGCCGAUCAUCGAUUUGGAGGCUUCAUUAUCGAAAACAAAUGAGUGGCAAAAUUGUCAGUUUGCUAUCGAUAGUAUUCUAGCUCAACUCUCUCUCUCUCUAUCUCUAUAUAUAUGUAUAUAUAGAGUCCGGCUACUAUGCUAUUAAUAGCACGAAGCACUUGGUGCUAUCAAGUUUUCCGCCAUUAGAUCUACCCUUUUGAUCAUUUUCACCCGUUAGAUCAUACUAUUCAACCAACCACGUACUCAACCCUAGGGGACCCACAUCAUCCUAACCGCACAUCUCUUAAUCCAAUGGCCAAAAUUUUGGUAGCACUAAUGACUUGGUGCUAUUAAUAGCAUAGUAGCCUAGUUAUAUAUAUAUAGGCAAAACUUCAAAAACUCCCCCGUGGUUUCAUAGUUUCUCACUUUGCCCCCCUGUAGUUUAAAAUGUAUUAAAUUGCCCCCCUGUGGUUUUGUUUUUAUCUUUUGGGUAGCUUUUUCGUUAAUAUUUCCUUAAAUUAUAUACAAAAAACUUCGGAUACCUAUCUAGAUUUAUCAAAUAUUCACUUUAGUACCCUUUAAUUUUAACUUUAUCACUGAUUUAAGAAAAAAAAAUAAUGAAAUUGAUAAAAAAAAGAGAAAAACGAAACCACAGGGGGGCAAAUUGAUACAUUUUAAACCACAGGGGGGCAAAGUGAGAAACUACGAAACCACAGGUGGGGUUUUUGAAGUUUUCCCAUAUAUAUAUAUAUAUAGAGCAGGGCUAUUGUGCUAUUAGGAGUAUAGCAGCCCCUGUGCUCCUAAUUUUCUGACCAUCAAUCAAACUUGAUGGGUGGUUAGAAUGAGAGAGGAAAAAAAAUGUUGAAGAGAAAUUCAAGGAGAAGAGAAAUUGAGACACCCAAUUUCUCCCCAAUAUCUCUUCCCUCUCUAAUUCUAACUACCCAUCAAACUUGAUGGAUGGUUAGAAAGUUAGGAGCACAAAGACUGCUGUGCUCUUAAUAGCACAGUAGUCCUGCUCUCUCUCUCUCUCUCUCUCUCUCUCUCUAUAUAUAUAUAUAUAUAUAUAUAUAUAUAUAAAUAAUUGAGUUAGAAUGCUUUUAGAAGCACCAAACCCUUGGUGCUUCUAAGUUUCUAGCUCUUGAAUCUACUCCUUAAUUACUAAUAUCCCUUGGAUCAAAUAUUAUUCCACCUACCACCACCCACCACCAUCAUCUCAACCCUACAUCUCUCCAUCCAAUGAUUAAAAACUCAAAAGCACCACCCCCUUGGUGCUUUUGACAGUAUUCUAGCUCAACUAUAUAUAUAUAUAUAUAGUAGGGCUACUAUACUCUUAUGAGUAUAGAGCCCUUCAUAUUCAUAAGUUAUUUUCGGUAUUGGGCUUUUCGAAUCGACGAUCUACACUGUUAAACAUGAUCUAGAGUAUUUGAAACUUCAAGAAAAUAAAUUUCGUUAUUUUUCGAAAUUAUUAUAAAGUCUAUCAAGCGGGUAUAAAAUGAACGAUUAAAAUCGAACGACAUCUUAAAAAUGGAUGAUCGGAUCCUUCAAUUUAAGAUCGGAGUUAUUGAUCUUUAUUUAGGUAGUGAAUAAAAUUUUUUUAAAAAAAUUCAACCUAUUCCGAUUCUUUUUUACCAUUAAACUAGCAAAUAUUUCAUACCGGCCGUUAAAAGUUAUCAAUUUUGUGAGCUUUUGAUCGUAAGGUAAAUGAUAUCGAAAAAUUAUAAAAUUUGAUUUCUAGAAGUUUUAAAUGCUCUAAAUAAUGUUUAACAGUAUGGAUCGUCGAUUCGGAAGCUCUAUCAUCGAAAAUAAUUUAUGAGUACGAGGGCGAUCGUACUCAUAAGAGUAUAGUAGCCGAAUUCUAUAUAUACAUAUAUAUUGAGACAGGUUUUGGCGGUAGGCCUACGUAGAGUUGGCGGUUUAUGGACCACUUGUGGAAACCGAGGAAAGCGGCUUGGCCGGUAACUCUGUCGAGGAGCUUGGCCUAAAGUCACGAAUGAAACAUUCGUGUGAGUUGAUUGCGACAACGAAGUUGUAUUGGUCGUGGCUAUGAUGGCAAACGAUGAAAUGCUCUAGCGAGACAUUGAGCUAGAGGAAGCCACAUGAGAAUGGGAGCUUGAGGAUAAUGUCUUUUUGUGGAUUGAGAUUGGAGAUGUUCCGGAGUGUGCCAUCUCGCGAUAGGGCAAGAAAACGGUUGGAUUGGAGCACUCAUGAUUGGUCGAUGCACCAACGAUAUUGCGUCUAAUUAAGCAAUGCCGGUGAUCGAAUCGGAGUGAACUUCCCGAGGGAACAUGUAACGCAAGGGACGGUUCCAAUAAGUGAAAGGCCAGUCCAAAGUGAAAAAGUGCAUUGGUGCCCUCAAAUGUUCGAUAAGUUGAAUUGAGGUGCGGUUUGAGUUUCGCGGACGAAACUCUUUUUAAGGAGGGGAGAAUGUAACAUACCGGACUUCUAAAGUUAUGAAGUCACGGUGUAUGUUGGGUUGGAAAACUAUUUGAAUGGUUCCGGUGAGGUUCGGUGAAGUUCGAAUGCUUUUGGGCGUUUCGGUACGCGUAGGCGCGAAAACGGAACCCGAAAGGCUAUGUUGGGCCGUGAGCUAAGUUCGGCAUUAGCGUGGAUGAAAAGAUGAUGGAGACAUGUUCGAAAAUAUGUUUGGAGAAUGUAACAUAUUGGAAUCUAGAAGGAAUUAUCGAACUUUAGCCAAAUUGGCUAAAGCAUGCGAAUAAGAUGAAUGGACGAGUUCCAGUUAAUAUUCCAUCAAGGUUGGAAAGGUUAAGAUGAGUUCUAAAAGAGUUAGAAAGGUUUUAGCGUUGUCCGGCGCGAAAUAGAGUCGAAAACAAGCUAAAAACCAAGUCCGGAGCAUUGUGUACCGGUACAAGUUGAUGGUUGUACCGGUACAACAAGCGACCCGAAGAAUGACAGCUCUCGGGUUUGAGUGAAAAAGACUGUUAAACCGGUGACACGGGAAAGUGUACCGGUACACUUUGGCAGAAUGGCAAAGAAUUGGUCUGCUGCAAUUAUAAUUGAUUGGAGGGGUUUAUUUGCAAAUGUUACCUAAUGUAAUAGCCCUAAACCCCUCUCCCUCACAGCAGAUCUCUCUCCCUCUCUCCCUCUCUCCCUCUCGUGUCUCUCCCUCUCCCUCUCAACCGGUUGCAAGAAAAGGGGAAGGAAAAGAAGAAAAGAGAAGGAAGGAAAAGAAGAAAAGGAUGGAGAGGAAGAAGCUUACCUCCAUCUUCAUCUUCCUCAUGCUUGGAGGAACUUGAGAGGUAAACCAUUUGUCUCCUCUCAUGGUGGGAUUAGAGUUAGGGUUUAGUUUUUAAACCCUAAUACUUGGAGAUUUGGAGCUUCUAAUGUGUUUAGAACCAUGUAGAGACCAAGAACACAUGAAAUCCAUGGUGUUCUUCAAGGUGCUCUAAUGGUGGAUUUCUAGGGUUUGUUCUAAACACCCUAGAAAUAGUUCGGAUGCUCCUAGUUGAGCUCCUAGAUGCUAAGCAAGCUCUCUUUUGCUUGUUUUAUAGAGCAAAUCCAGAGUAUUGAGCAUAUGUCAUAUUAGGACAUCCCAAAGAGGGAUUUUGCUCAUAUGGGGUUUUGAUCUAUUUUGACCUCUUGGAAACCUAAUUGGGGACUUAACAAAUGUGUUGGCGAAGUCGGUUUAACCAUUCGUCGAGUGUACGCGAAGUUAUUGACAAAAUAGUGUUUUGCCGUACAGAUGGCCGCAGGACACGAAAUAAACGCCUAAAAAUCGUGGGAUCGGAACCGGAGCACCUUGGAGUCAAGGAAUAAGCACCGGAAAAGACGGAUCGCGAUUCGGAGGUCGUUUGGAGGUCGCGCAAAGUUCGGGCCAAAUCGGGCAACGGUUGCCGCGGGAGGCUGAUUGCAAGUGACUACAAGCAAUCGGAGCGCACGUUAAGGUGGGUUGUGUCUACCGAAGCGACUAGGUCGCCCUUAUGUCUAAGAAAUGCUAAGAAUCCUUGUUGAUGCAUAUACAUGUAAAUGUGGUUUAUGGAUUAUGCAUAUAAUCAAUGCUAGAUCGUGUAUGUUGAUAGUAUAAUGCAAAAUGCCAAGAUAGAUGCAUACAAAAUGAUAUAGAGAUCAUGAAUGCAAGUAAGUAUAAUAUACAAAGAGCAUGAUUAGCUUUGUGAGAUCGUAAAUGCACAAAAUGAACGUUAUGUUAAGCUACCACAUAGAGUACAUGACAUAUGGUGGUCGUGUUGUAUGUUAAAGAAUGACAAAUAAAGGACAUGUGUAUGUGGACAUAAAAUACAUAUAGAUCGAGUGGCAUCGAACCUAGAGUCUGAACCUAGGUUAAACAAGAAUGAAUGUGAACCUAAUGUUAGUAAACAAAGGUUGGGCAAGAGAAUCAUUGAACCUAGUGUUGAUAAACAUAGGUUAAGUAAGAAUGGUAUUAAACCUAGUGUUAAAGAACCUAGAAUCACAUGAACUUAGGUGAGCAAAGGUAAGGAACCUAGAGUAAAUAAACCUAGGCUAUGAGUAUGGAAAUAAUGAAUCUAAAGUAUUAACUUAGGUUGAGUUGUGAGGACUGAGAUUUCUGCAGUGUAGCUAAACUCUCAGUUGACGAUGUUUUUGUGUGUAAUUUAAUUACAAAAGCACUCGUCAAGUUUCGUGCGAAAACGAGUUAAAACGAAAAUUCUACGCGAUUUCCAAGUUUCACUUAAAGUGAAUAGUAACUCGAUUUUCCGGAGAAGCCGCGGUGAGAAGUUGGCUUCUGGCUCGUACCGGACUCUGUUUAUAGCAGUCCAAUAGCUCGUUUCGACCGGGUCAGCUAUUCUGGAACUAAUGACGCUGACGGAUUUUGAGUUUGACGCACGGAUCUCGAGAAAAUCCAAAAAUACGUGUUUUAUAUGUAUUUUUGUGUGAUUUCUUCUAUUGGUAGAAGGGUUGGAUUUUGUCGUGAAUCCGUGGUCGAUCAAGACGAAACGAAACCAGCUUGUUUCUACCCGAGUCAGUGCCUGAGCAGGCGCGAUAUGUGUGCACGGUACGUUAAGGUUUGCAGUCUUUUCAAUCUGACGAGAAGCAGCGCUGUAUAAAGUCUAAGCGAGUAUGGUAUCCGGAGAUCUAUCCAGCUUUGUCACGGUACUCAAACAAUUGCUUUACACUAAUUUGUGCCUUGUGGUUAAUGUUAUUAUAUUGUUAUUAAGUUAUUAUUUUUAGUGGGCUUCAAAGGUCACUAAAUCGACGGAGAGGUCGGUAGUAACUUUAUGGGCGUAUAAUAAAACAGUGAUGAUUUCGCAGAAACCAUGCUACACUAAUUAUCAUGUACCGCUUGGUGUCUCAGAUAAAGGCAAUCGUCACACCUGUGGAGGGUAUUUAUCUGUAAAGUAAAAGAUCCCAGUAACGCGUCUUAUCCAGAGUGCCGCUUUGCAGAGUAGAAACUAACUAUACCAGUUGGAAAUAUCACCUAAGUUAAGUGACUUUCUUGCAAUUUUGCGCCUUACUUAUAUUGUUUUCCUAUGGGUUUUCUUGUGAUCCCAGCCCUAUAUCAGUCCCAGUUAUACCCUAAGCCGCACCCUACACCCUCAUUCCUCACCUCCCUGCCUAAGCCGUCGCUUCCACAGCCGCUGCUUUCUAUUUCGAUUUAGCAAAUAAACCCUUAGCUGAAAAAUAUGACAUCAACGAGAGAGUCCCGAGAGACCUUCCGGCCGACAGCCACCUCGAGCCUCGUUUUCCUUCCUCUCCCUUUCUUGUUACCACUUUUCCUCUCCACCUCUGGACCCUGAGCCUAAAUGGAAGGAGCACUCAAACGCCCGCCCCCGGCCGCUCCACCUACCCACGACCUCUGGCCGCCGGCACCCGGGAUUUCGCGGAUGCGCACCAGAAUAAAGCCGCCUACGACGGAGCGUCGCCAAUCUUUUUGCCACUCUGCUAGGGCGAGACCUACGUCAGAUGGUUUAAAAAGCCUAUUAUUUGUAGGAUUUUGUUAACAAACAAGACCUUCCUAUAGCUUGCUGAGUUGCGUCCAGUAGCCGCAUCAAAGCACGCGGUAGACUAUGGCUUUGGGUCUAGACAUCCCAAGCAACAAUACUGCCACCGCGCACACUUUAUCGGAUCCCGCGUCAUACUUGGUUUAUAAUUAAGAUCCAGAAAAUAAUAAUAACCUGUGAAACAUGUCGUGGAAUACAAAUAAUAUCAAUGUUACCGCGUCAAGUGCCAUAAGUGCAGUGUCGUUCCUGUUCGAAUUCAGAUCGUUCGAUUUGCCCAUCACCUAGCUCUAACAAGCCCCCUUUUGCCUAAACUCGCCGAACGCCACAAGUCUCUAUAAGUUCCGCGACACGAUUGAACUGCUACAGAGGACGCACUCCUUAAGCCUCCACGGGUAGCCUGAGAACAAAUACGAGCUCAAAGUAAAGUUGCCCAUCUCUUGUCUGAUUAGGGCGUGACCGCACCGCCUCAAACACGCACGACUUGACACCACAAGAGUGCCUUGAGGUUGGCGCAAGACACGCUUUCCCUCUCCGUGGAUUCUUUAUACGCCACACAGUUAUCAAGUUCGGGUACGAACGGCCAUAGAGAUGCCAGCCAGAGGAGAAGGACGCACGCUGUUGACUCACGUGUGUGUUGAUUUGGUUCACGCCAUAAGAAAAUGCAAAUGCAAAAUAAUAAAAUAAUAAUAAUAAUGCCAUAUCACACAUAGCCUUGCGGAGAUCGAGACGGAUCGCAUAGAAGAGGCGAGAGACAUAGCUGACUUGGAGAGCGAUGUAGCGCCACACCCAGCCCCCCCUAUCUGUCCCCUCUUCAGACGCGGAUGAGCGCACGAACGAGCACAGCCGCUAAAUCAUUGGCCUUGAUUUGCAUCAAAGUGAUGCGCCGACUCUUAACCAUCUCAAAUAUUCCCGCAUGCACUCCCGAUGUACGCGUACUCCGUGCCGCUAAUAGUGCGUAUGCCACCAAAAACUGCUAUUUCAUCAACGCAUGAAUUACUUGCAUAGAUCUACUCGGCCUCUACCCAUCAUCUCUUGAUUUGGAUCAAAAGCCAAUAUGACAGCGCAAUUUACCAUCCUCAAGCUGCACUGGCCCUCAUUGAUAUUUGCGGUGUAUGUUGAUUUGGCGGCCAGUCUCGCGGCUGGGCACUGUGAUUCUGUGAACCACCCCUUAUUAUAGGUUGACUCCGUCCUUUACCUAAUUUAUUAAGGCUGCCUUCAUGCUAGAGAGCCCGGCCAGAUUUUGCUUAAGGCCGCAGAGGUCAAUAUAAGCGCUAAUGAUAGCGUUGUCGAUCAAAUUCAAUCAGCAUUAAACUACUAGCGCUCGAAUUGCGUACAUGACACCGAACUUGUAAAUUCCAAGUACUAUAACUAUGGUUUUAGUACGAUGGCUUAUUUGCUUAGCGUUUCCCAGACCGCGGUUGCCCUGACCUCGUUAUUUACCUUGAAAAUGUAUCUAAGUAUCAGCCGACUUAACUAUAUCCGCCAUUUAUUAUGAUAGUAGAUAUGGAGCCAUUAUAUAUAAAUAUAUCUUUUAGUAAACUGUUUUGAUUAUCUAUUUUAUUACAAUCUAUUGAAACUUGUUAGCUAUAAACUAUGCCUGAUAUAAAAUGUUGAUAGAGAGAGCACAGGCCAUAACGCAUGCUAGUAACGCCAAUACAGAGCGCACAAUAUCUCAGAGUUUCGAUGCAAGCGAGAAAAAUAUCUUAUACACAAACUCUUAUCUACCAUCGUACAACCCACACCGCACCCGUUCCUGGCGCCGUACCGCCGCGUAAUUUUAUUCCAAAUCCAAGCCUCUCGGAUAUGGUCCGCAAACCGAGGCAGCAGAAAAAGUUCUGGCGUCCUCUCACCCCCGCCCCCAAAGCCCCCCCGAAAUUACACCUUUGAGUGGGUUUCUUUUCUGGCUUUACCCCGCCUCGACCGAGCUUCGCCCCGAUCCUCUACGGAAGGGCACAUACCGAUCGUACUCCUGCGCUCAACUUGCCGCGAUAGAAUACAGAUUAUCUACCACGAGGCCAUAGCAAAUGUCGAAGCAUGUCAAUACAUUAUAUGAAAUUAAAUAGAAAGAGAAAAAAAAAGAAAGCCAAGGCGACCGGUCAUGCCUGUUUGGCGUGCACCGCAAUAAGCUCGGCUACCUUCGCGCCCCACUUCCCCGAUCGUCGCUGACUCCCCCCGUCUUUUGGCUGCGCCUGUUUUCUUGUUAUAUAGCGCACCCACCGCUUCAUUCUCGGUCUUGUCAAUUCCGCAACUCCGACAUCUCUGUUCAAGAGUCACUGUCCCUGAUGAGCUUCCGCUUCUCCUCCCUCUCUCCUCCUCCUUCUGUACGGAGGUGAGGCACAUACGGCGAGGUGGAGUCGGUUCGGUUUGUUCCGCUAGGACACUGCUCGCCGAUCUUCCACGAUGACGCUCGACAAGUGCUUCGGCGACCCCUCACGUACGGAUAUACGCGCGAGAAACACGUGUUCCUGGGGUUAGCAGUUUUUUGGAGAUUGCUUGUUACGGGCCCUUUUUCGCCCGAUCCUAUGCACCCUAUCGACUAGCCGCGCUAAUUUGAAUCAUUAGCUGGCAGGAGGGGAUGCCCACGAUGACAACCUCAUUCGAAAGUUGCCUCCCGAAGGCUUCGCACUACGAGCUCUACAACCCAACGAACAUCAAAACCGAUCCUCGCCCAAAAGCCUCCUGCCUCUCCUUCAAGGACUCGGCCUGCCCGAAUUCUGCUAUCGCUACAUGUCUCCAAGAAGAAGUACAUCUACACAUCCGACGACUGAUUGCUUCGGUGAGUUGCUCCCCCUUGCUCCCUCAUCUCUCUAUCAUCUGUGUGUGUUGGUUGUGUUUUUUUUUUCUUAAAUUCGCAUACUUUUGCUUUGAUCUGAGAUAAUUUUGGAGUCCGCGGUCGAAGCGUUUAGGGUGAUGGGGGAGUUGGGUAUAGGGGAGAAAGGUGCCGAUCUUGGCCGCACGGGAAUCUAUCGGAUGUUGCGUUACUGUUUAUCUCACGAUAAAUUAAGAUUUCGUCUUGAAAAAGAUAGUCUUUCAGGGGGAUACUUCCCAAUCCAUUUACCGUUCUCUCUUUCUUUUUUUCUUUUUCUUAAAUAUUUCCUUACCUUGGUUUAAGGAAAAAAAAAUGUUUUGGUCUGUGGAGUUGAUGUUGCGGAUUUGGCCUUGUGCUUUCCUCAGCAAAAUUCGCAUCUCUGCAGCUUCUUUACUUUCUCAUCUGCCUUUAGGAAGAUUAUUGGAAAUUUAUGUACGAAUAGCCAUUUCGUUCUUAACAUGCUAACUACAUCUUUGGCCAUAUUAUUUUUGCAACUGGUUUAAAUUAAACUGUAAUUGUAAAUAUAGUACCUUAUCUAAACCUAGUUUGCUGCUUCAAAUCUCUAGAUUGUUAGGAUCUUAGUGGAGUUAAAGACACAAAUUAACCACUUCCUUCCCGUGAGAAAAUAAAAAUUGUCACCUGUCUUUAAUUGAUUUAAUGACUGGAGAACGGGAUUGUCAAAUGUCCGAUAUUUGAAUUUUACUUUAUAAUUUAUUAAAGAGAUGUAGUAAAAUUAACACUUUUGAAUCGGUAACACAUGCUACUGCAACCUUCCACCAAAAAAUAAAUGUACUUUUUUUUUGAGACCCAACUGUAGGGAGAUAUCCAUGUGACAUCAUGCUGUGUGGACUAACAGCAGUAGCAACAUGGUACCCAUGGACUUUAGUAAAGAGUUUCUUAGAGCACAUGCUGAAAUUCAAUGGCAUUGAUCCUUUUGGAUUUGCCUUGUGUUAAAAAAGUCGUAAGUCAAAUGGUUCAUCGAUCUUAUAUCAAUACACUCCAGCUAUUGAUGACAUCCUGUAAACUUUUCUUUUAUAACACAUCUAAAUUUACCUUUUAUAGUUAACGGAAAAUUUGAGCAACGUAGACAAAGAUUACUUCCAAUAUCCAGAGGUCGCAGCACUGCCGCCAUAUAUCAAUCCGCUGUUCUAUAUUUAUGAUUGUGGAAUAGCUAAAUUAUAACACACGUAGACACAGAUGACAUUUAUUAUUUAUUUUAUUUGUGCUUCCGUGAUCUGUCUAUUGAUAAUGCAAUGAAGACAAGUGGCUCCUGAUGAAUACAGACGGCUUAGCUUAUUUUCAAUUUAAUUGUUAUUUAAUAUAAUGCCAUUUGUAAUAUUCAAAUAGGUGCAAAGAACCCAUCAGGCAAAGAAUAUAAGCGACUUGACAGCACAUAAAUGAACCUUGCUGUUGCCUUCCGCACGGCCUUGUCUUCUCAACCACGUCAUGCUACGGUGAGAUCCUAUUGCGAAGCGCUGUGCGCGUACCAUUUGUUCGUGGGUAUUCUUUUAGCCUUCGAGAAGGUGUACCGACUGCUGUUUUCUCAGCGCCUUUGGAUCAACAUUCCCGACUAUGUGCUCCGACCCAGCUUUGUCAAGCCUCGUGAGAGAAACACAAGGUGCCUAAUCAUUUUAACGCGGAGGUCUCAUGGUUUGCGUCUUCUUUAAUUUAUCAAAUCUUGUAAUUUUCCUGUUUUUGACCCAUAAGGUAUGUGGACGCUGCUGUGACUUGCGAGCGGAGCAGUGGGCCUAAGGAACCUUAUUCCCCCAUGUGCGGUAAACCUUGCUUUCGACGCGUGGAUGCGAGAUGAAUCGGAACCUUCGAGCACAACCUGUAACUUUGGGCUUAUGUUGCAGGUUAGACGGACGUACCCUCUUGGACGUUACGCGGAAUCGAGCAUUGUUGGAGAAGCGUAUGGCUGCUGUGAUCAGUCCGGUUAUUUUGUUCUGGCUUUGAGAUCUUACUACAAUGGCUUUCAUCAUGUCCUCUCCAGUGCUUGAGAAUUUAUGUGAUCGCUGCCCGUGUUAAUCAAGUUACUACAAUAUCACAAUCCAAAUCCACAAUUCUAUAGGUAAGUUGCCAGGCUGGCUUAUAUAUGCAAUUGUGCAUCUAUCGUGUGGCAUGCUACUUGUGGGCCCUAUAAUGUCAUAGUUGAGUGUGCUUGACCUUACAGUAUGCAGAGAACUUGAUUUGUAAAAACAUUAGUAGGAGAAUCAAUCCCCUGGUAGUUUUCGCGAAAUCGAACCGAAUUAAAUUCCAAAUUAUCGGCUGCGUUUUAACUUUUCAUGUCAGGCGAAUAUCAUUCGCGUCUUGAUCUCAGCAAAAAACGGCGGUUUCGUCGGAUUUUCUUAUUGUUUCGUGCACUACUUGUGAGAGCCAAAUGACUGAAUGGUCAUAACUCUCGUAGCCAUACAAAAGAAGAGGUUAGGUGCCUCUGUGAUUAAGUCACUAGACCUUGUUGGCUGUCACCAUCGUCACAAAUUGUGGGCUUCUGCGGUGAUGAUUGGUGAGCGACGGUGGGUUCCGGUGUCGAAUAUAAACGCAAUCGGGAAACCCGGAUUCGUACAAUUAUCCGGCGAUAAUGUGGUGGGUGUUAUCUUGUGUUUGCUGCCAAAACACCAAUUGGAGUGUUUUGGGGGGCAAGUGACUCUGUGACACGAGCGAGGUCGGAUUUCGGGACACUUAGUGGGUCCCGACGCGUCCCGGUGUAGUUUUCGGACUUCCGGCGAGUUACGGUAAUCGAUAUUGGGAACGAUCUUCGUGGAAUCGUUUGUGGGGUUGUGGAUACUGUGAUUAUUAGUUUGUGGGUUAGAUACUAACCCGGUGGACCCUCUAUAGGUCCUGUCGACAUUCUUUUGCAGUCAGGAGACAGACGCGACAUCUGUACAGGUGGUACUUCGAUCCGACGUCGGUACAGUGGUGCACGUUGGUGACGGUUUCUUACCCUUACUCUUCUAUUGUUACUAUCGCAUAGUAUAUUGAGCUUGCAUCCCCGUUGUUUCUAUUAUACUUACUCAUAUGUUUCUAUGCUUAGUAUCAUGUGUAGGAGUAGAGUAGUUUAUCCAUAUGUGAUAGCCGGUGACCUGAUUGGUCGGUUCUCGUACUUUGUUUCGGUGACCUGAUUGGUCGUUUCUCGUACUUUGUUUCGGUGACCUGAUUGGUCGGUUCUCGUACUUCGUUUCGGUGACCUAGUUGAUCGGUGCUUUUAUCUUAUAUUGUUGACUGGUUGGUCGGUUGUUGCAUUAUGUAUUGGGCUGGUCCGUUUCUUGACUUCUGUCGUUCGAUGACCCUUGAGGUCGGUAUACCCUGAGGGGUGGGAUGUGUCGCUAGCACCGACCGAUGAUUAUAGUUUAUUCAGUUCCACUAUUUGUUAUGUUUGUGACUAGUCUGUCAGCUUCGUGAGUCCUGUCGUCGAUGACCUAUGAGGUCGGUGUACCCUGAGGGUUGGAUUGUCGGCUAGUGACCGACGGUAAUUCGGGAUUCUAUUGGUAUACUCUGGUGACCUAUUCGUCGGUUCGUCGUGCAUAUAUGUUAGUUGACGUUAGUGAGUCAGUGCUUGUAUACCUUCGGUAGGAUGUUGAGUGGUUCCCUCUUAGUUGACCUGACUGGUUGUUCUUGUGCUUUCUUACAGUUGGAUGACCUAUUGGUCGGUUUCCCGAGGGGCGGUGAUUGUCGGCUGGUUGCCGACGUUUGGCUAUUGAUCAUUCUCUAUUGAUCGCCACAGCUCGAGUGCAUUUCACGUACACCACGGGUUGAUCCCCCGCAGGAGGGUGUUCUUUUCCGAAAAGUGGUCGUACAUCCGACCCGUGAGCCCAGCGGUGUUGUCUUUGUGCUAGGGUUACAUGCCAGGUUGAGCAGAUAGUGGCUUUUGCCUGAGGUCCUUAGACCGACACGGCGGUUUAGAUUGGUACUUUUGGACUUUCGUCCGGUUGACACAUAUAGCUAGUAGUGAUUGUUGUAUAUAUACUUUCUAGUUCUUUCUUUACAGUUGUCUUACUACUAUAGUUUCGAUAUUCUUGUAUGCUUGCAGUUGUACAUUACAGUAGCGGUAGUUGUACUUUUUUCAUAUAUAUGUCUCUUCAUUCUUUGUUAUUGCUACUGUAUUUUCUACUGACCCGUACUGUUGUUUAGCUCUUCCUGAUCCGGUGAGUACCCUCGUUUCAUCGGCUUGGCGUACCACUGGGAGGGGAGACAUGUUUACAUGUUUCACCUCCCCCACCAUUUUUUUUAGGUACUGCAGGCGAUGAGUUUUGGGACGAGACGUGAGGUACGUUCGUAGCAGUCGAUAGAGCUUCCGACCCAGGUUAUCGAUUUAGUUUUUAUCCUUACUAUUCUGUUGUUGUAGCUUAGUUAGUUUAUAUGGUUCAGUUAGAUGAUCAUACUUGUGUUUGAAUGUUGUGAGCUGGUUGAAUUUGUGGAAUUGUGGAUUUGGUUUAUGGAUCUUCAGUUUUGGGAUGUUUGUAUACUUUGUGGUUCUCGGAUUUGUAUUUUUGGAUUUACGCAUCGUGGUUUUCUACCCUCGAGGUAGUCGGUUUUCAAAAUAGAGUUUCUAUGUGGGAAACAGUUUCAAAAGGUUUUCAAAUGAUUUUUCAUGAUGAAUGAAUUAGAGUUCAAAAUAAAAGCUUCUGUGUGGGGAGACUUUUAAAUAGGAUGGUUUGUUGUAUUGUGCAUUGCAUCAUCCAGCGCUUAAGGAUGCUUAGAGGCAUGCAUCAUUCUAAGGAUUGUUAGCUGUAUGAAAAUGCAUAUCAUGAAUUGGUUGCUGAUUGGUAAAUGUAGAUUGUGGUUGUGAUCCUGUUGUAUCCGUUGGUACGCCGUGCAGAUACAAAGGAGACUCUGCCCGAAUGGACAGAGGAACUUUGUAUUUGUGGCGGGUCUGUACGUCACGUGGGCCAGGUUUUUUUUUUUCAAAAAAAAAAAAAAAUUUUUGGUACAUCUUCCGCGACUCUGAGUUUUAAAAAUGGUAAUGACUUUUAAAUCGGCCCCGGGGCGUGACAUGAGUAAAGGCUUGGACCUAGAUAGGUCAACUCCUUAUGGUUAAGACCAACCCUCGAGUUGUGUGAAAUGGAUUCCAGAAUCCCAAAGCUAAAAGAAUGCGCCGAGAGUGGCAAAAGGAUACACCCAAAGCGGUGUGGGGUGUGUGCGACGAUUUCGCCGCCCAGGGCUAACCAUUGUCGUGGCGUGUGCGACGAUUUCGCUGCCGGAUGGUUGAGCCAGUUGAGGAUUGUACCGCCGGGUGACUUGAAUCACUGUCGUGGUGUUUGUGCGACGAUUUCGCCGCCGGGUGGCUAAGUCAUGACCUAGGCCGUUGUUGGGUGAGGUGCGAUUCGUUCGCCGCCAGACGGCUAGAUCAGAAUGGCGGGGGGCUGACUGAGCAGCCAGAGCGCGGAUUAUCCGCAUUUGAUUGACUCAAGACCGAGUCGGGUGGCAUAGAUGACUAAGGUAGAGAUAACCUUAGAUAUGAGUUGUCAAGGACUAUGGCAAAGAAUAAGAAUGCUAGCAAUAAUUAAGAAUGUUAAUGAGUAAAGAAUCGCCAACGGGCGUAGUGUAAAGAAUGAUAAGGAAUAAAGAGUAAAGAAUCGCCAAUGAGCGUAAUGUAAGAAAGGAUAAUGAAAUAACAAAGUGUAAAGAAUGACUUCGAGUAGAAUUAAAAUAAUCUACUUGCAUAAGUAUAGGUGUUGCAUAUUGCAUCUUGGGAGGCAGAACAUCUUAGUUCAAUAUCUGUUAUAUAUCUGUUAUAUGUUAUUGGACUAACUUGUUACAGGGCCUCAUUAGACAUAUCGACUGAGCUUUUCCCUUGGGUGGCCGUACCCACUGGGAACCAUGGAGUUGGUUCUCACCCCACGUUGUUUUGGGGUGUUUACAGGUACACACGUGAGCGGCGCGACGGCGCGAGGCAAGGGCGUAGCUCCAUAGAUAGCGCCCUACCCCAGAGACCGAGAUAGCAGUACCCGAGUUGGUGGUCUAGCUUAGGAGGUUUAAAGACAAGAACAAAUUUAUAUCAUAAACUUGUAAUAGAUUGUAAUAAACAGGUUGUAAUUUGGAAGUUAAAUGUAAACAGAUACUGUGAUGUAAAAUAUGAAUGCAAAAUGAAUGCUUGUAAUAGCAAGUAGUUAUGUAUUUGAUACUUCCUUAUGCAAUCUGGAUUGAUAUCCGUUUCUAGUUGGAACAUUCGUUGAUUGUUUGGAUUACGACGCCUUGAAUGUACAGGGGAGACUCUGUCCGCGAUAUAGGGGAAUCCCCGGUCCAUUCGGCGGUCUGUCGUCGGUGCCGCGACCCGGUCCAAAUUGGCAGUUGGUCACGGGGCGUGACAGCAGCGGAGGCAGAGGGCGGUGGCGGCGGCGGUUGCAAGAGCGCGAGGGGGAAAGCAAAGGCCGAGGCGCUUCUCUGAGCGCUCGAUGGACGCUGCUCAUCCGGCUUCCGCCGCCCAUCGAUCUCUUCGAUGAGUUGGAUUUCUUUUCGUUGCCGCCGACUUUCCAGUCGUUGAUGUCGAUGUCGUAGUCGAAGGCUUCCAAGGCUUCAAACAAUGUUUAAUAUGUUGAAAAAUCUUUCUGAUCUUUUAUUAAAAUAUUAUUUAAUAACAAUUUGAAAGUUUAAUUUUAGUUUUAGAAAAAUUUCGAGAAAAAAAAUAAAUAAUAAACACUGUAGAGAAAAGGAUUAGAAAAAAUCUAUGGAUCGAGGCGUGCAGAGUACUGUCCUAUAAGCGAAAUUGCCCCUCCAUAUACGAGGCUUCCCGACAAUUACUUCAAGCGAUACAACGACUACGUUCUACCCCGUCGGCACGCUUUCAAGGUGGCGCAAAACGAACCUAACAAGCUUCAGAUCCAGCAAAGAAAGCUCGGCGAAAAUCAACGCAAAAGAUCAAUGACAAGAAAACAGAAAAAUGCGAGGUAGAGGAUAGAGUUUUGCUCUUAGGUAUGGUUAGGUUCUGGUUGAACUCACGCAACCUCCUCCAAUAUAUAUAACCAAGACAAGAAAUCUUGCUUCAACGUAUCUAUCCAUCCAAGGCAAGAAUCUUGCUUUAACGUGUCUAACCCGUGUAGAACAAGAUAAGCCUAAGAUUAUAUGGGAUACGGAUUAGGAUUAGAAUUAUGACAAAGAUAAAACUGAAAAAUAAAAAUAAAAUAAAUCGGGUGUAUGAACCGCGCGCGCCGCCACCUGCCCAGCUCAGCUCGUGCUCGUGCCGUGCGUGUGUUUAAACGAGAGCAUUACUCUCAUUUUCUCCCAAGCAACUAGCUUGAGAAUAAAGAAAUAUAUAAAUACCAACAACACCAUUUUAGUUUUCAAUGUGGGACUAAACUUUACAUAUGAAAACUUUAGUUGAGCUCCCAGGAAAGGCCCAUCAAGUGUUGGGCUGCUCAAGAGGCCUAACAAAUUUUAAAUCACCAAAAAUCCAAUAAAAUCCAACAUAGUAUAACACUACUGUUAAAUGUUAAUUUGAUUUAUUAGAACAAAGAGUACAAUUUUUUGUUUUCAAAAAUUAUAAUUUUCGUCUCAAAGAGUGUAAUUUUCGUUUCAAAGAAUGCAACGUUCUUCUCAAAUAGUGUAAUUUUUUUUGAAACCGUGCAACUUUAUAUUAACAGUGCAACUUCGUCAUCAUCUUCUUUCUUCUUUAGUUUUUGGUCUUUUUCUAUAGCAGCAAUGAUACAUAAUGAUCUUUCAAGAAGAAAAAAAUAAAUUUUUUAUUUUUUUAUUUUUAUUUUUUAUUCUUCUUUUUUUUUAAUUUGUUGUAUAUUUUUUUUGCUCCUUGGGGAAGUGUGGACGCGUCUUUGUCUUCAACCUUAUGGGUGAUAGCUAGCACCGCCUCGGUCAUGGCCUCAUCGCCUCCGUUCGCUCUGUCCUCACUCUCUCCCGCUUUGGGUCCUCUUUCUCUAGCGUCGGCGGCGGAGGUGGAGGCAGGGGAAGAGGAGGCAACGCCAUCUUUGUUGCCGUUGCCAAGGGCCGUAGAGGCGGUGAAGGAGGCGAUGAGGGUUGGAGAGGAAAAAAAAGAACGAGAGAAAAAAAAAAAAACAAGAGUGAAAAGUUUAAAAAGGUGAGGAGGAAGACAAACAAGACGGAAAAAGACGAACAUGAAAAAAAAAAAAGAGAGAAAGAAAAAUAAUGGUAUUUUAGUCAGUUUAUUAAAAAUCUGAAUCGAAUCUGUAAAAUUCAAAAAGGCGGCAUAUUUUUGCAAAAACUUAAAACCAAUGAAUUUCUUAUGCAAAUUGGCCAAUAGUUUAUAUAGGGAAAAAGAACUAUCUAUACAUAAAGUUAAUCAAAAUAAGAUCUCUAAUAUACAAAUUUAUAAGUGCGGAUGACUCGGAUGUAUAAAUAUAUCUUUUAAAUUGGAUGUAUUAUUAAUGAUUAAUACUUUAAAAUAAAAUACGAUAUGAUCUAAUUUGAUAUACCAUAUUUAAGUAUUUUAUUAUAAUACAAACUUUUAUUUUUUAUGUAUAUUUUAGAAUUGGUUUACAGUGCACCGGGUGCGUCUAAUUAUACGACAAGUGGCAUCAUUGUAUUCGCUGACCCACUAAGAUACGCGUGGCUUGGCUUGUCGUAAUAAGGAAAAGUCUAGAAUGCAUCAGUUAUAUUGCUGACGCGCGUGGUGUAAGUCUUAUCAUUCUUAGAUAUAUCCGUCCCAUCAUAAUUAAUAGAAAAAUAUUUUUAUUGUACCUUUUUUAAGAAAAGAGAUGAUUGAUUUUUUAUUGAUGAUGUGAUGCAAGUACGAUAUUUUAGACUUUCUCAGCCGUGUUAGAGAGAGGAAAGAAGGGAGAAGAAGGAAAAAGAAACUUUAUGAGAUGGCGAAACGUGGUUGAAGUGUGAUGUGACUGAAUUAAGAAUUAAUGUAUUGUUAAUGUUAAUUGUUAAUUGUUAAUUGUUAAUGUUAAUAUUAAUUAUAAUUAUUAUUAUACUUAUAUUAUAAUAAUUAUUAUUAAGUUAAAAAUUACAAAUUAUAGAUUAGUCUUUAAUACUAAAAUGUAAUCCGAUAAACCUGGAAGAAUUUAUCUAUACCGAUUUUUUAUGACACAAAUUAGGUGCAUUGUACAUUACAAUCAACAUUUUAUUAUAAAAUUUUAAAUUUUAUUAAUUUAUUGAUGUAUUUUAUCUCAUUUGGAUCUUAUAGUGCUACUCUGCGUCUUUAAAACUCCAUAAUAGAACCUCAAAAUUAGAAUUUAGUUUUUUCGGAAUAUUUUUAUGGCUUAUGGCAUUAUAUUAGAGGCAUUUAUAAGCACAAACCCAUAGCUACCGUUUGGUUCGGGAUUAAGUAAAAACUAUUUAUUUCAGGGAUAAGGUUAAGUUCAGGGUUAAGGGGGUUAGAGUAAUUUUGUGUUUGGUUGAGAAUUUGUUUAGUCCAAGUAUAAGAAAAAUAGUGUUGGUGGGAGUAGGUGGAAUAAAAAGAAUAGUGGGUUGUUAUAAAUAGAAAAAAAUAAUUUUCUCUAAUUUUUAUAUUUGAAUUUAAAUUUUUUAUUUUAUAUUUCAAAUUUCAAAUUUAAAUAGAUAACUUUUAAAAUUACAGAAUUCAAAAUUAAACUUUAUUUUUAAAUCUCGAAUUAAAAAAUUUAAAGUUAUAAAAUUUAAAUCAAAUCUAACAAAUAUAAAAUUUAAAUAAUAAUUAAAAAUAAUAAUUUAAAAUUUAAAAUUUAAAAUUUAAAAUUUAAAAUUUAAAAUUUAAAAAUUAAAAAUUAAAAAUAUAAAUAUAUAUUUUAAGAUUGUAAAAUUAUAAUUUUAAAAUUUUAAAUAUAAAUAUUAAAUUAAAAUUAUUAUAAUUAAAAAUAAUUAUUAAAUUUUAAAAUUUAAAAUUUAAAAUUUAAAAUUUAAAAUUUAAAAUUUAAAAUUUAAAAUUUUAAUAUUAAAUUUUAAAUUCUAUAUUUAUAAUUAAAAAUUAAAUUUUAAAAAUUUAAAAAUUUUAAUAUUAUCUUAAAAUUUUAAAUUUUAUAAUUUAUAAUUUAAAAAUUAAAUUUAAAAAUUUAAAAAUUUUAAUAUUAAUUUUAAUAUUACAAAUUAAGCAUUUUAAAAAUUUCAAAUAUAAAAUGUCAAAUUUCAAAUUUAAACAAUUAAAUUUUAAAUUUUAAAUUUUAAAAAUAUUAAUAUUAAUUUUAAGAUUAAAAAUUAUAAAUUUUUAAAAUUUAUAAUUUAAAAUUAUAAUUUUAAAAUUAUAUUAAAAAUUAAAUAGGGGUGGGAUUAACUUUAAUCCCACCCCUAUUCUGGGGGUGGUGUCACGCCCCGAAUUACACGUUCUCCAGGCACGCCAACAAAUCCGCCGUACACAAAGAAAUUUUCUCUGUAUACGAAGCGAUAGCUGUAUCUGUAAAACAUACAAUACUACAAACAGUAGUAUAGAGCUGCUAGAGGAACCAGUAACUAAAAACAAACUGAGUUUCAUAUACAUAUAUCAAAUCCAAAAUACAAAACUACUCGCACUGGCGAGUUAAAUAACUGUAUGUACAUGAACUCCAACAAAACAACUAUCUGCAGUAGGGGCACCUCUAGCUCGGUUCGUCGGGUAGGGCUCUAACUCGCGACGCCCUAGCAUCGGUCCAGAUCAACAACAGCAGUAGUCGAAGGCGACGACUCUGUAAAAACAGAGGUAACAACUGGGCGUGAGAAUUACUGUAAAAACAAGUAGUCCUCAGUGGGUACCGCCUUCAACUCAUUGGUCCACCCACUAAGUCUACAGAGAUAAGCAGGAAUUGUAAAGAAAGCUGGAACAAAAAUUUAUAACUAAAUACCGCUAUACUAUCAUACUCUAACUCUAACCCUCUAUAGAACAAUGUCAUCUCAGACCCAAUCUAUAUAAGGACUGUAAACAUACCCGUCCCAGGGACUGUGAACACACCCGUCUCGCCCGGUUGCGACUAUCCAGUUACCUCCACACUAAACAGUCCGUGGAGAGCAAGUCCAACCUGCACGAACGACACCAACGCAAACGCACAAAGCCCGCCUCCGGAGUGGCACUCGUGGGCGCUACCCAACCGAGCAUGCAAGCGUAUCUCUGUCGAGCUAAAUCAGGCUCUAACAAGCCAAAGACAAGUAACUAGGGUCAAAACAGGUCUAGAAAUCAAACCCACGUGCCCUCGGCACAAUCUGCAACUAAAAUAGAAAUCUGGGUCCACCGCUAACCCUGACGGCACCCGACGACCCGAAACAGCCUAAACUCUGCUGAAAAAUAAGCUCGACACCCCAGCACGAGCGUAAAUGCCUUCUAAACUACCCCAGAUAUCCAUCGCACUGAUACUGUGCCGAUACAGUGAAACACGGCUCCUAGAGCUAAAUUCGGUAGUUUAAGCACAUGACGGGUAAAAAUGCUGGUUUCUCCUAAGUCAAACUCCAAGUCCAACAUGUAUCUUUACGAUUCACUAAUCAUAUUCUCAAUGUUGAUUUCAUACAUGAUACAAUCCAAGAAAUUGAGCUACAACAUGAUUUACAAAAACUUGAAAUCAUACAUGUCGACUAAUACUGUACUUAGGCAUAAACCGAUGAAAACCCACCUCUAAAGCACUUCCUGACAGCAAGGAGGUCUCGAACCACAAGGACUUCCUCUGCUGGAUAAACCGAAGCUCCUCCAAGUCAGCAACAAGAGUUCUUCAAACUCUAGACCUUAACAAGAUCCAAAAUCCAUCAAUACCACUAUAAUUUCAGCACUUAAGCUAAAUUAUCCACUUGUAAUGCUAACAUUACCUUCCGACUCCAAAUCAGUUGAGGUGGAGUUCCAAAAGCAGUGAGUAGUGAUGGAGUAUGAGUCUCAGGUCCAAAAUCCCACUGUUUCCAAAGAUCGUAUCAAGAAAGUUCAAGAAAUCCAAAAAUCAGGUCCAAAACCAUAGCAGUCCAGAAACCUGCAAAAUUGACUGAGUUAACCUUAACCAAAAUCUGCAAUUCAGGACUUCCUGGAUUCCUCUGGAAGUCUAGAAUCCAACAAACUAAGUUUCGUCACAAUCCGACUUCCCUACGUCGCGCACGAGCAAAAACACUGAAGGUCGUCGCUGGAAAAACUGCAGAAUCAGCACCUUGCAAAUCUUGGAGUUGUGGAUCUUGAUGCAAAUUAAGAAGAUUUGAGGGAUUGAAGAGCAAAUUCAGGGUUCUCUGUGAAGGACAGGUGAAAAGAGCUCAAAGGGGACGUACACCAGGUAUUUAUAGGGUGCUGGAGUGGUCAGAUAACCCUCAGGAACAAUUGCUGAAAUCUGCUGUCCCUGCAGAAAAUCCGAGAUCUGGGCGCUCUAAACUAAGUUCUGGGCGUCCAGAACUUUCAGCCUGCACAAAUGCUCCCCUUCGAUUCCUCCUCCCGCGGUGUGCUGCGCCCGUAAACGGCUCCGGCGGACCUCACCUACCACCAGCCACGUGUCAACACAAACGAUAUUCACUAUGUAAAAUUUCCGGACCCACUUCUGGGCGCCCGGAACAUAGGAUCCGAAUUAGCUUCCAGUUUCAGUUAAUUUCAGCACUCAGUUCUGAGCGACCUAAACCGUGUUCUGGGCGCCCGAAUCUGGCAAAACUCCAGUUUUGCUUAUUUGAGUGCGCCGAGUCUAUUUCUGCAUCCAAUUCGUACAGAAUUGACUCCGACUCAGUCCGACACUCUCCAGAUGUGUCGACCAGUCACUAAUACUGUAGCCAAUCCUAUCCAACCCUCUGGAAUGCUACAGGUGGGGUAGCUAACACUACUCCAAAUAGGCUAACUGGAUGGGGGGAGGGUGGGGUAGCUAACACCACCCCAAAUAGGCUAACCGGUUAGCCUAUUUGGGGUGGUGUUAGCUAACCCCACCCCCCUAAAAUCAUGUUUGGAAAUAAAACCGGGGUUAAGGGGUUAUCCCACCCCUUAACCCCGAACCGAACCAAUCAAAUGUAGGCAUUCGAAAUCUAAAUUAUAAUUUAUGCCCUUCUAAAUAUAUGAAUUUAUCAAAAACUCAAUCGUAAGCUUACUCAAGGAGGGUUGAGUACAAGUAUAGUUAAUGGAAUAUUGAUUUUAUCUUUGACUGUACCCUGAUAAGGCAAUAUAUUAACACAUAUUAAUUUUAUUUUUUUAUUUAGGAUAUUUAACUUAUCACGUAUUUUUUUAUGGAUUAAUUGCAUACAGGUUCUACAAAUAUAGUAAAUUACCUAUAUAUAUCUUUAUAAAAUUCAACUUUCAUAUAUUAUUCCAGCGAAAGUUCUAAUAUUUUCAAAUAUGUUCCUGUCGUUAGAAUCCGUGUUAGUUUAUGAGAUAACUUGACAUUUUUAUCCUUUUAUAUAAUAUUAUUAUUAUUUUUAGAGGAAUAUAUUUAUGAUGGUAAAAUUGAUAUUUCACUUAUUUGCUGUUAAACUAUAAAUAGUUCUAACAGUAACAAACUAAAGGAUAUAUUUGAAAAUAUUAGAGCUUUCGUAGGGACAAUAUAUAAAAAUUAAACUUUGUAGAAAUAUAUUUAUAAUUUACUAUGUUUACGGGGAGGCAUUUAACUCUUUUUCUUAUUUUCCUAUUGUGAGAUUAUCACUUUCAAUUUAUUAUUUUUUCUUUAAAAAUAAUUGUUAAAAUUAUGAAUUUCUACCCUAGUUAGUUAAUUCGCGAUUAAUACGCGAAUUAUACGCGUAUUUUUUAAAAUACGAAUUAAACGGCGAAUUUCGUAUUUUUCACAAAAGUUUGAAAAAAAACGCGAUUUUUUCGUCAAAAAUUAUUAUUCGCGAAUUAAUCGCGAUUCGCGAACAAUUCGCCCAAAAAAUCGGCGAUCGCGGUCGCGGACUUGCGGCCGAGGAGCGGUCGCAUCGUCGCCGCUCUUGUCGCAGCUCGCGUCCGCGCCGGUCUCGUCGCCGCUCGCGUCGUCGCCGCCCUCUCGUCGCCGCUCGCGUCGUCGUCGUCCUCCGCGCCCUCGCCGGCGCCGGGAGCAAGGGCGCGCGGCGGCGGAUCCCAUCUCCUCGCCCGAGUCGUCUCCAAAAUGGGAAAGAUGAACGUAAAAAUUAUCGGGGCUUUGGAGGUUGGGAUUGGUGCGCGUCCACGAGGCUAUUUCAGCCUCGUGGACCGCGUGAGGGAGGUCCACAUCCACAGUGGACCUCCCUUCAUCAUACUAUAUAUAUAUUAUAUAUUAUACUAUAUAUAGUAUAUAUAUAUAUAAUAUAGCUAUAGAGUACGGUAUAUAUAUAUAUAAUUUUUAUUUAUAAAUAUAAAUUCAUUUAUUAUAUAUAUUAUUUUAUUUUUAUAUAGAAAUAUUUAUAUAAUAUUUUAUUUAUAAAUUGUAAUUAUAUAAUAUAUUAAUUAUUAUAUAUUUAUUAUAUAGCCGAAUUUUUUAUUCCGAAAUUUUAAUUGGUGAACGUAUAAUAUCCGUAUAAAUCACGUAUCCGAAUCAUUACCGAACCCGUUUUUUAACCGUAUUUUUCAACGAAUUUAAAAAUUAAAAGACGAAUUAUAUCCGAAUUAUAUCCGUACCGAAUUUUUGCCGAAUCCGAAUUAACUAACUAUGAUUUCUACCGAAUGGUAAGUUUGCAAAGUUUUUAGUUCAAUGGGGUUAAAAUUAUGAAUUGCCACCUGUCGGAUGGCUGUGCUGGGCCGGGUAUCCAUGAAAUCCGGCCCAGCACGGCCGUACCCAAAUUUUAAUGGGGCCGAUGUUGGCCGACUGUUGGCCCAGUUUGGCCCGGUUAAAUGCGGGCUGUGCUGACUCGACACAGCCCACAUUAUACCCGGGUGAUAUUUUGAAUUUCGAAGGGGUAUUAAUUAAAUUAGACCGUUUCAAAGGGAUACUUACAAAAUCUGUAAACUCUUAUUAGUUUUCAUAAUUUUGUCCACGUGGCAGGCUUAUAUCUUAAUUAUUGCUGUGGAGUUCAUCUCCUUUGUUACUCAUCAGUCAUCUCCUUCCCUUAAACCUGCCAUCUUUUAACGAUCAUGUCAUUUUCCAUUCUGUUUCUUUGGUAGAAGAGAACUUUUAGGGCUUGUUUGGUUCAAGAGUGGAAUUGAAAUGGAUAAUAGAAUGAGAAUGAAUUGGAAUGUCAAUUGGAUUGCCCCGCUCUCCCAAGACAUUUGGUUCAUUUUUGGAUUGGAAAUCGGAAUGAAUUAUUCCUAUUUCACUAUUUGGUUGAUACAAAGUAAAAAAAAUAAUAGAAUAACAUAAUAUUAAUUUUACUUUUAAAUAUAAUUUUAUAAAACUAUCUAAAAUUUUUUAAAAAAAUUAAUACUACUCUCGAGUUAGAGCUAUGCCAAAAAAAAAUGAAUUUAUUUUAAAAAUUUUUAUGUAAGAAAUUACAAAAAAAAAAUGCAUAAAUUUUUUUGAAUAAAAUUAUAAUAAAAAAUAAUAUAUCACGUUUUUUUUAUGAUGAGAAAAGAGAGAAGAGAUCGGUACAAGUAGAGGAAGGAUGGAUAAGAUGGAGAAACGUUGGGCUGGGCCUAAGGAAGAGGUGAGUGUGGGUUUGGAAUUAAAACUUCAAUCCGGGCUUGAAGACUGGAAUCAAUUUGUAAGCUAAUGGACCAUUCUCAUUCCGAUCCAUUCGGAAUGGGAAUCCCAAACCGAUUCCUGUGAAUCAAACAAAAUUAGCAGGUUUUGAUCAAACCGAUUUCCAUUCCGCAUCCAAAAUGUACAAACCAAACAUGCCUCAGAGGCUUUGUGGUGUCCCAUUCCGUCUAUUCGGUUUUCAUGCUUUUCUUUUAAACUCAUCAAAAUCUAACUUGAAAUCCCACUUCUUUUUUACCUAAACCCUUUACAAGUUCUAUCCCCCUUCCCUCGCCCUACUUCCCUCGGCACAAUUGAGAGCGCGACCGAGAUCGAGAUGAGGAACACGACAUGGAGCUAGCGAGACCGACCUAAACCCUUUACAAGUUCUCUCCCCCUUCCCUCGCCCCACUUCCCUCGGCACGGUGGUAGCGUGACCGAGAUCAAGACCGGGAACACGAUUGGGAGCGUGACCGUUUCCCCUUUUCAACCUCUUUCCUCCCCAAUCUCUCGCGAGAUCAUGAAGAAUCGAUUGAAGAAGGAAAAGAAGCAAUCAAGAUCAAACAUAUUGAGAGGUAUGAAGAUUGAUCCCGACUUGAGCUUGAUUUCAUUGAUCGAUCAGUGUUGAUCUCCAAUUUUGGAAGGGCGAUUACGUACGGAUCCCAUAAACCCUAAUUCGAGAUAUGCUACUCUACAAAAAUUUAUCCGCUGCAACACGCGGGUUCCUGCACUAAUUAUCUCAUUAUUUUAGAACUCGAUUUCUUACAAAUUGAAUAAUUAACUUUUCUCUGUGAUUGAUUACUCUGACUAGCUAGUGUCCUAAUAAGAGAUUUUUAAAUUUUUUAAUUUUUAUAUACUAGCUAAGUGUAUAUGUAAUGCACAUCGCAUACAUCUAAAAAACAUGCAGAGUUGGUUACUCUGGUAAAGCCAUAUGACAAUGAUUGAACUGUUGUAUUAUAGAGGGGACAAGCUAAUAUUCUACUACAUCGCUUCAAGGGUUUUGCAAAUCAUAGAGGGUUUGAAUCUCUUUAAAGAGAGCGAUAUUUUUGUGUCUCGGCUUAAUCAAUUCGUCACCACUUUUUUUUUUUUUUUUUUUUUUUUUUUUUUUUUUUUUUUUAUAGUCUAACCUCUAUUUUUGUUAUUUGCACCAAUAAUUUUAAAGAGAUUAAAAAAGGAAGGCUAUACAUGAAAAGUUCGACGAUAAUACAGGAGAUCUCAGCAAGUCCUUAUGCUUCAAAGGAACCCACGUCAAGAAAUAGAAAGAAAAAAAAUAUUAUUCUACCUCAACCUACUCAAAAUUGCAUGCGUCAUUAUAGAAAAAAAAUUCAAAGAAGACUAAUAUUAACAACACGACGGAAGAUGAACUUCUCGAAUACUAUUGAAAGACUGGAAAUAUGAGAAGGAUGAAUAUAAUUGUUAGUAUUAUCUUCUCAACUAUCUUUCAAAUUGAUUUUAUGAUUAUAUGAAAACACUUAUCUUUCCGCAAAGAUGAUUUGGAAGACAUUGCAGCUAAACUAUGAAACAGAAUAAGUUGGUGUAAAGAAAUAUGUCGCUAGUCGUUUCUUGGUUUUUAGUGAUUCAAAAGUCAAACUUAAUAAUAGAAAUUAUAAACUUAUCUAAAUACAUUCAUCAGACCGAUUAAUAAACCUAGAGUCAUAUUGCUGCUGAUCGACAACUAUAAGCUCCAAAAUUCAUUACAGUAAAUUCUAGGAACAAAUGUAUGUAAAUUGGUCCUAACUACCAGUGAUAUGCAGGUAUGGCAGCGGCAAUCCUCUACGGUGAAACUGCGCGACAAGAUUGCUAUUCUCUUGGCAGAGAAGGAGAAGUCUCUCCCUUAGCUUUUCAUUCUCUCCCAUGAUGCAUCUGUUCGCCAAGUAAAGCUUCAGGUUCAGCUUUUGUAGCCCUUUCCUCUUGCGCUUACUUAUUUUUAUCAACCUGUAGCAGCAGCAGCAGUUUUAUAUUUUGUUCAAACUCUAAUUUGAUGUUUCUGAUCGAUUUAGGUUAAAAAAAGAAGCUCUUGGAGAUAUAUUUAAAAGUGCUUCUCUUAAUAGUUGCACUACUCAGACAGUAUUUCAUCAAAUUGCACCACGGCCAAAAGCAAACGAAACAAGCCCUUAGGCCUACAUGUAGUAGUCGUUCUAGAAGCUAGGCUGAAAAGCGGAAAGAAAAGAGCGAAGAAUGAAACUUUGUUGAGCUCGAACGAAGGGAAUGUUUGAAUUACCUCCUCUUCUUCCUAAGAGUGAUUGAGGCACGAGGUUUGUGCUUCUUGGACUGUCUUUGGGCAAGAACGGUGGACAGAUAUUCACCAAUCAACAUUGAGAAGUGCAAACACAGUUUUUCUCCUCCAGAUGUUUGUAAUUUUUGCAGGUAUAUAUGGAGGUUUAUAUAAAGUGAGAGGCCUCUUGAAUAGCUAAUGCAGGUGAUAGGUGUAGCAGAGUGACUAGUGGUUUUGUGCAAAAGUGCCAAUGAUGUUCAUAAAUGUUGAGUAUGAUUUUUUCUUUCUUUCUUUCUCUCUUUUAUUUUUUUGUCUUGCAGAUAAUGAUGCAUGCAUAGACAGUUGAACAGGGACGCAGAUUCCCCAAUGAUUCAUUGGAGGACUCUUGCUUCCUUACCUUUUUCUUGAUUUUUUAAUAAAUCAGUUAUAAUAUAGAGAGACUGAGUUGUGCUGGAAUAUACUGUUAAGAGUAUGAUACAAUCCAUUUUGUAAUCACUGGAUGCUUAGAGUUGAGUGGGUGGUUGGUAUAAAUAGUAAUAUUUUAAGAAUUAAAAAGUGGACAGUAUGUAUUAUUAAUAGUAUACUGGUUGAACUAUAUAUAUAUAUAUAUAUAUAUAUAUAUAUAGAGAGAGAGAGAGAGAGAGAGAGAGAGAGAGAGAGAGAGAGAGAGAGAAUUGAGCUAGAAUACUUUUAGAAGCACCCCCCCUUAGUGCUUCUAGGUUUCUAGCCCUUGGAUCUACUCAUUGAUUACUAAUGGCUCUUGAAUCAAACACUAUUCCACCUACCACCACCUAUCACCACUUACCACCAUCAUCCCGACCCUACAUUUCUCCAUCUAAGAGUUAAAAACUCAAAAGCACCAACUUCUUGAUACUUUUGAGAGUAUUGACCCUACAUUUCUCCAUCUAAGGGUUAAAAACUCAAAAGCACCAACCUCUUGGUACUUUUGAGAGUAUUCUAGCUCAACUCAUAUAUAUAUAUAUAUAUAUAUAUAUAUAUAUAGAACUAGGCUACUAUGCUAUUAAUAGCACCAAGUCAUUGAUGCUACCAAGUUUUUGGCCAUUGGAUUGAGAGAUGUGCAGUCAGGAUGAUGUGGGCCCUUUAGGGUUGAGUGGAUGGUUGGUUAAGUAGUAUGAUCUAAUGAGUGAAAAUGUUUAAAGGGGUGGAUCUAACGGCGGAAAACUUGGUAGCACGGAGUGUUUGUGCUAUUGAUAGCAUAGUAGCCGGACUCUCUCUCUCUCUAUAUAUAUAUAUAGAAUUGAGCUCCUAUGCUUUUAAAAGUACCAAGUCAUUGGUACUUGUAAGUUUUUAGCCCUUGGAUUAAAGAAUGUGCGGUUAUGAUGAUGUGGGCCCCCUAGGGUUGAGUGGGUGGUUGGUUGAAUAGUAUAAUCUAACGGAUGAAAAUGAUCCGAGGCAUAAAUCUAACGGUAAAAAAUUUACAAGUACCAAGUGCUUGGUGCUUUUACAAGCACCAUAGCCGGACUAUAUAUAUAUAUAUAUAUAUAUAUAUAUAUAUAGAGAGAGAGAGAGAGAGAGAGAGAGAGAGAGAGAGAGAGCCACCAUGGAAUCAUGGCCAAACCUUUUUGAGAAAACUCUAGAAACCUAACCUUGGGGAUAUUUGGUAAAGGUUUGGAUGUUUGGUAAAGAUUUGGCCACUCAAGAUGUGACAUAACUUUUUCUUUGUGAAAAAAACAUGAUCCCCUAAACUUUAUAAAGGGGCUUUAAUUGUUGCAUGUAGCAAUUAGGGUGCGUUUGGUUCGCGCUAUCUUUUAAAGAUUCCUAAUAAUUCAAUGGAAAUAAAAAAAUAUGACGGUGUUUGGCUAAACGCACUAAGUAAUCUAGUUGGUAAUAUUGGAUUCACUUGGGAAUAAGAUUCACCCCAAAGUACUAAUCUCAUUCCCUUGAGGGAGGGUGGGUAUCCUCAUAUUAAUGGAUUGGGGUAAUCAUAAUAUGUCUAAUCUCUUUCUUUCUUCCUACCCGCCGGCUAAUUGAUAUUAUUUUUCUUUACACUCUAACCUUAUAUCUCUCUCNUAUAUAUAUAUAAAUAUAUAUAUAUAUAAAAGGGCUAGCGUGUGCUAUUAGAAGCACGGAAGCCUCCAUGCUUCUAAGCUGUUUUCGAUGAUGAACUUUCGAAUCGACGAUAUGCUUUGUUAGAUUUGAUCUAGUACAUUCGAAAUAUCUAGAAAAUAAAUUUUGUUGUUUGUUGAUAUCAUUUACCUACUAAUCGAAAUGGUUCAAAAUCAAUAGUUUUAAAUGGUUGAUGUGUGUUGUUUACGUGUUUAACGGUGUAGAAGUAUUUAAAUUCGAUGAAUUUUUGAUAGAAAAUUUUUUAUACGAUCUACAACAAGAUCAAUAUCUCUAUUUGAAAAUUUAUUGCUACAUCAUAACUUUUUAUAAGAUUUUUAUUUUUAGCCAUCCAUUUUUAGCCUUUUCGAUCACUAGGUAAAUCAUAUCGAAAAAUUAUAAAAUUUAUUUUCUAAAUACUUCAAAUAUGCUAGAUCAAGUCUAACGGAGCCGAUCGUCGAUUCAGAAGUUCCAUAAUAAAAAAGGGCUUAGAAGCAUGAUAGCAUCCCAGUCGAACUCAUAUAUAUAUAUAGAGUUAGGCUGCUAUCCUAUUAAUAGGAUUGAGACCAUUGUCCUAUCAAGUCGUUUUGAAUUAUCAACACUCCAAAUUGAUAAUUGGCUCCGUUGAAAUUGAUCUACACUAUAAGAAAUAUUUAAAAACCGAAUUUGGUAAUUUUUGAAAAUCAGUCGAAAAAAUGAACAGUCAUAAAUGAAUAACCUUUUUAAAAUAGAUGUUAGACUUUCUCAAAUCAUGAUUAGAGUUAUUAUAUAUUACCUAAAUAGUAUAAAAAAUUUUCUAUUAAAAAUUCAAGCAGUUUGGAUUACUCUACACCGUUAAAUAAGCAAACGGCUCAUAUAGGCCGUCAAAAAUUGUCGAUUUUACGAUCUUUUGAUCACAUGUAAAAGAUUUUUAAAAUUUCUAAAAUUUAGUUUCUAGAUAAUUCAAAUACUCUAGAUCAACUUUAACGGUUUCGAUCAUCGAUUCGGCAUCUCUAUCAUCAAGAACGACUUGAUAGGACGAUGGUUUCUAUCCUAUUAAUAGGAUAGUAGCUGGAUUUUAUACAUACAUGGAUAGUAGCUGGAUUAUAUAUAUAUAUAUAGUUAGGCUAGAAUACUAUUAAUAGCAGAACAUCCUUUUUGCUAUCAAGUUUUUAGCCUUUGGAUCAAUUUUUUUCAUCAUUUCUAACCAUUGGAUUAAAUACUAUAACACAGUGGGGACCACUCAACCCUAGGGGGACCACUAAACUCUAACUGACUAAUAUCAUCAUAACCCUACAAUUUCUUAUCCAAAGAUUAAAAACUUGAUAGCAAAAAGAACGUUUUGCUAUGAAUAGUAUUCCAGCCUAAUUCUAUAUAUAUAUAUAUAUAUAUAUAUAUAUAUGCUACGGCUACUAUAAACCUAUGAGCAUAGAGCCCUUCAUACUCAUAAGUUAUUUUUAAUGAUGGAGCUUUUGAAUCGACGAUCCACUCCGUUAAUUAUAAUCUAGAGUAUUUGAAACUUCUAGAAAAUAAAUUUCGCACUUUUUCGAAAUCAUAAUAAACUUCAUCAAGUAGGUAUAAAAUGAACGAUUAAAAUCGAACGACGUCUUAAAAAUGGAUGAUCGGAUCCUUCACUUUAAGAUCGGAGUUAUUGAUUUUUAUCUAUGUAGUGAAUAGAAUUUUUAUCAAAAAUUCAACCGAUUUCAAUUCUUUUACACCGUUAAACUAACAAAUCUUCCAUACCGGUCGUUAAAAAUUGUCAAUUUUGUGACCUUUUGUAAUACACUGAACUUUUGCAAAUUGCGGAGUUCGAGUGUGUGGAAUGAAAUGUGGAACUAUCCUAUAUGUUCUAAAAGGUUUGGACAAGCUUUGGAAUAAGUUAGAGGAUGAUUGGAAAGCUUGAAGCAAGAAAGUGCAUUGAACUGGCGAAAUUCAGCAUUUUCUGCAUUGUGUACCUGUACAGACAUUACCCUGUACCGGUACAGCAAGCAGCAGCAGCUGCAGCUGCAGCUGCGUGGCAGUAAGGCUAUUUUGGUCAUUUCACUUCACCUAUCCAUCCUUAUCCCUCCCAGCUCGACCCUGAGGAUGCUUAUCACUUGUGAGCUCAGGGAAAUAGGAUUUUUAGCUCUUCUCUUUCUCUCUCUAGGAUUUGGAGCUCAAGAGAGCUUGGUUUGGUAGUUUCGGCUUCUUCGACUUCUUCUCCUUGCGCCGGCAGGUUGGGAGGCUGUAGCAGUGUUCUCUUGCUGCGAGGGAACAGUAGUGAAGGUGUUCCUGCAACCCAAAUCAGUUAGUAACUGAUUUGCUUCAAGGUAUAAGGGAUUAGCUCAUUUUACUCUCUAGUUUGUACUUUAGUGUUGGAAUUUGAUGUGUUUUAGUUUCACUGCUUCCACGUGAAUCUGAGGAUGUUUUCAACAGCUUGAGAGGGGUUAACUAGCUGUGAAUUAACCACCUUGGACCAGAGAUAAGCUGCUUUAAAGCUAGUUAAAGGUAAAAUAUGAUUUCUAAAGCUAUUUCGGAACUAUACGCGAAUUAAUCGAGUAACUUGAUGCAGUUCGAGAUUCCUUCUUUGCAGCAGGUUUGCGAACCACGUUGAGCUAAUCUCGUGACCUAGGGGACUAGUUUGGAAGGUGGUUAAACUAAAGGUAAGUUGAAAUUUCAGUAGAAAACUGAAAUCACUAGAUUUCGGCUAUUUUAAUGCGUAUACAAGCAUAUUGAUGCCAUUUUGACGUUGUUCGCAGCGAGAUUGCAAUCGAGCCUCGGAUCAUCUUCAGUUGGCAUUGGAGAGCAAUUGGAGGCUUAAUUUGAGGUACCAAUGUGAUCCGAAACAGGAAAUUUAAGUUACUACUUGGUACUAAGUGCAAAUUAGGCCGAAAUCGGACAUUUCGGUCGUCAUUUUGACACGGUGUUGAUGUUUGUGUUCAGCAGGAUUGGGGCUUUGUUGAGCUGAUUAUUGGGACUUCUUGUGACUAUUUGGAGCCUAGUACUAGGUGGGUUUGACCUAACCAGAGCAAGUGAAGCUCCUCUAUGUUCUAUAUGUAACUAUAGAAUCGGUUUAGUAGCGCAUUUUUAUGAUUAUGCGAUUAGUAAAGGAUUUGGUACAUAUCAUCAUAACCUUUGAUAUAAUUGAAAUAUAACCUCUAUGAAGUAGAGUGGACACACACAUGCAUAAAGUAUUUAUGUUCAUGUUAAAUGUAGUUGAAUAACAUUCUAGUACGAGUUGCUAUGUUCCUAGAAAGUAGAGAACAAUGAUAUGCUUGUAACUUUAUUGAUUAUAAAGUCGAGAACAAGAAUAUGUUUUAUGACUAUAAUGGCAAUGCCAUGAUAGUAGAAAGUUCCUAAUGCCAUAUGUAAAUUUAGCAUUAUUCUUGCAUGUUUAUUAAUCUAGUGGAUACUAGUUACCGCCAAUAUUUAUCAUGUUGAGAAUUCCGAUCAAAGGAUCGAGAGCGAGAACAUUGCAAGUUGGAAAAUGAUGAUUGAGACAUAUUGGACUUUGAAAUUGCUUGCUGCCAUUGUGCUCAUUCGCACAUGCUUGUGAGGGUCGCUCCCUACAAGCCGGCACUCCGGAGUUGGCCUACACGACAGUUCCUCACUCGUGCGGGAUUGGGUGCCGAAGUGGAUUGCCGUAGGGAGUGUAUACUACCACGGGGCCAUUAGGCGCGGUGCAAGCUGGACUACCUUGGGUAGGUCCUUAUGAAUGAAAUAAAAGUACUAAAUGACAAAGGACAGUAAUGAAUGCUCAUCAGUAUAGUGUACACUAUUUACUUACACAUCCAUAUUUAUGUUCGUGUUUAUAGUAGUUGCUAUGCUUCUAUUACUCAGCUGAUUCAUUACUGCAGAAAUCAUUGUUACAUGUUGCUUACAUGUCCAUUAAUUGUUAACAUUGGAAAUAUAUCAUGCAAAUUACUGCUUUUACUUUUAUUUAGUACAUCAUGAAACUAGUGGUAUAAUUCGCCGAGGCUGGCGGCUUACCCACUGGGAACUAUUGUUAAUAGUUCUCACGCCCUUUUUAUUGUUGUUUUUACAGAGCUAUCUACAGGAGAGGCUAGGGAUCAUGGCAAGGGAGUCGCGUCUAGCUAGACAUUGUUAGGAGCAUGCUAGUCGAUCACCUUGCUACUCGGGUUACGGCCGAGGGUGAUGUCCCUAUAUAUAGAGAGAGACUACCAUUAUACCUACUUUUGUAUACCCCGUGAUGUAUAUGUACUAUUGAACCAGAUAUUGUAGUUGUGAUACUUUCUCUUUUAGUUGAGAUUUUGGAAUGUGUACCCUUGUUCUAUUGUUGAUAAUUGUAUUAAUUUCUACUAUGCUUUGAUAUCAGGAUAGGAUCCUUUUAUGUUUUACUCCUAUCGACUUGUUUCUUGUAGACGCCUUAUAUACUGUAGGUAUAUGGCGGGUUUGUGCACGUACCGGAUAUGCUUCCGCUGGUACCCGGGCGUGACAGAUUAUAGUGGUAUCAGAGCCUAGGGUUGAGUCUUAGUAGACCUAGCAAACCUUAGGCUGGUUGGACUAUAAGAAUAGGCUCGUGAGAGACGAAGUCUAGUUGAGUUUGUUGUUAGCGAAAGUAUUUUGAUUGGAUAAUUUAUAAACUCCGAAUGGUAGGAGUUUGAUCGGAAUGUGCAAUUACUAACUUUGCAGAGGGCCACGUUGGCGGCCGACAACGUGACAUCGGAAGUUAGUAUAUGUUAUAUUUCAUUACUUUCGCUUGAUUAGCUGGCUUAUGUCUCUGAAGUAAAGAUUCAAUGACAUAGGUUUUAUUAAUCUAUGUUUGCUUUUGUGCUGCAACUUAAGAUGUCUUUGACCCGUUCGAGAGCUGCUGGCGCGGCUGAGGCGGCGGUCGCGGAGGAAGUGGGGACCUUCAUUACUUCUGGAUCUAGUGGGAUCCAUGAGUUGCAGGAUCAGCUCGCGAAGCUGACGAAUUUGGUUGCUCAGCAGGCUGCGGCAGCGCGACAGCAGAUGGAUGCCGCGCGUCGGCAGGAGGACAGGAUGAAGAGGUUAGAGGAUUUACUAUUGCGGCAGACGACCGACAGAGAGAUUCCUGAUCCUAUACCUACAGUACCAGACAGGGAUGCGAUAGUGAGAGCACAGUCACCAGUCCCAGACACACCCCCAGUAGCUCCGAGAGUAGAGCCCCGAUAGGAGACAGUUGUACCAUCCGUGCAUGUGGCUGCGGCAGGGACAGUGUUACCUAAGAUGGUGGGGGUUGAGGAGCGAGAGCGGAUGAUGGAAAGGUUGAAUGAGUUUCGUCAUUGCAACCCUCGUGUCUUUGACGGGAAAAAAGCUGAUCAUUCGGUGGUCGAGAAAUAGCUGAUGCACAUGGAGAAACUGUUCUAUGAUACUUUUGUUGAGGAGCGAUACAGAGUUUGGUUUGCGACGCACCACCUUGAUGGCGAGGCUUACAGGUGGUUGGUGGAUAUCCGUGAGGACCCCCGUGUGGAUUUAUCAACGAUUACUUGGAUGAGAUUUAAGGAAUUACUGUUGACAACUUAUUUUCCACAGAGUGUGAAGAGGCAGAUGGAAAGGGAUCUGAGAAACCUGAGGCAGGAGGAUAGGACAGUAGCAAAGUAUGAGCGAGAGUUCUCCCGAUUGCUGCAUUGUGUUCCUUUUGUGGUCAGAGAUGAUGAGGACAAGGCUUGGAUUUUUGAGGUGGGUUUGCGACCUGCGAUUUUCAGAUUGGUUCAGGCGUCAAACCUUUCUACUUACAGGGAAGUGGUGAACCGGGCACUGAUUGUUGAGAAGAGGGCAGAGAUUAUGAAGGAAAGAGAUGUGGUGGAUCGAAGUAAAGAAAAAAGGCCAGCAGCUGAGAGCAGUGGUCAGCAACCCUUCAGGAGACCGCCAAAGUAUCCGAGGGGCCAGCCGGGCCAGUCGAGAGGUCGAGGUUCUUCAGCAUCCCGUGGAGCACCCGAGUAUCGUCGACAGCCACGUUGUGUCAUUUGUGGUGGGCCUCACUUUCCACCACAGUGUCAACAACAUAGGGGCAGGUGUUUUAUCUGUGGCCAGGAGGGCCACUAUCAUUCAGAGUGUCCGAGAGGUCCUUCACCUGCACCAUCAUCAGCAUCAGCACCUGCAUCUUCUGCUCCGAGCCAGGGGACCCCGACAGCACCCUCGCAGUACAGAUGAUCACCGGGACAGCGGCAGUCUGAGAGUUCUCACAGGAUUCGAGUGGGCGCAUGUAUGCUGCCCAGACUGAGGAGGCCGCAGCAGCAGAGGAGGUCGUAGCAGGUAUCAUUAUGCUUUAUGAUAUUCGUGUUCGUGCAUUAUUUGAUGCUGGUGCUUCGCAUUCUUUUAUUGAUCGGCAGUUCGCCAAGUUGCAUAACAUUCAGAUAGUACCUACUUUGCAUCCGGGACGAGUGAUCGUACCCGACCAUACCCUAGAUGUUCAUGAGUUUUACCCUUACUGCCCCGUUAGGGUAGGUGACUCGAUUAUGCCAGUGGAUUUUUUGGCACUACACAAACUUGGUGAGUUUGAUGUAGUAUUGGGUAUGGAUUGAUUGACACAGUAUUAUACCACCAUAGAUUGCACGAACAGAACGGUGACCUUUAGGGAACCAGGUCAGUAAGAGUUUGUUUAUAAGGGGUGUCAGAGUUCAUUGUUCGCAAUGACUAUUAGCUCUUCGCGAGCACGACAGUUGAUUCGGAGAGGGUGUGUAGCCUAUUUGGCUAGCAUUUCUGUGAGUGACGGAGGAGCUGUCAAGAUUGAAGAUAUUCCAGUUGUGCAGGAGUUCGGGGAUGUGUUUCCAGCUGAGUUGCCUGGUAUGCCACCUGAUAGAAAAGUUGAGUUUGUGAUAGAUCUUGCUCCUGGGACUACCCCAAUCUCAAAAGCACCCUAUAGGAUGGCACCCGCUCAGUUGAAAGAGCUGAAGGCACAGUUACAGGAUUUAUUGGAUAAGGAUUUCAUUCGACCGAGUGUAUCUCCCUGGGGAGCCCCGGUGUUGUUUGUUAAGAAGAAGGAUGGAUCUCUUCGAUUGUGUGUGGAUUACCCAGAAAUUAACAAAGUCACAAUCAAGAAUAAAUAUCCCUUGCCCAGAAUCGAUGAUUUAUUCGAUCAGCUGCAAGGAUCGAAAGUAUAUUCUAAGAUUGAUUUGCAGUCAGGUUAUCAUCAACUUAAGAUUAAGCCUGAAGAGGUUUCCAAUACCGCUUUUAGGACACGGUAUGGGCAUUAUGAAUUCACAGUUAUGCCAUUUGGACUGACAAAUGCCCCAGCAGCCUUUAUGGAUUUAAUGAACCGUGUCUUUAAGCCCUAUCUGGACAGGUUUGUGGUCGUGUUUAUCGACGAUAUUUUGAUAUAUUCUCGAAGUGACGAGAAGUAUGAAAGCUAUCUAAGAGUGCUGUUACAAGUACUUCGAGAAAAAAAAUUGUUCGCCAAGUUAAAGAAAUGUGAAUUUUGGCUUCGAGAAGUGGUAUUUCUGGGACAUGUAAUUUCUGAAAUAGGAAUAGCGGUGGACCCAAUGAAGAUUGAAGCGAUUAAAGAUUGGCCUAGACCGACUAAUGUCACAGAGAUUCGGAGUUUCCUUGGUUUGGCGGGAUACUACCGAAGAUUUGUUGAAGGGUUUGCAAAGAUGUCUACGCCUCUCACUCGACUGACACAUAAAGGGGCUAAGUUUCUGUGGAAUGAGGCUUGCGAAAGAAGCUUUCAAGAGUUGAAGGAACGAUUGACCACCGCCCCGAUUCUAGCACUGCCUGUCACUGGAAUAGAUUAUGUGAUUUAUAGCGAUGCGUCGCUAAAUGGAUUAGGGUGUGUUCUAAUGUAGAAUGGCAGAGUAAUUGCUUAUGCAUCUCGCCAAUUGAAAGAUUAUGAAAAGAACUACCCUACACAUGAUCUUGAGUUAGUAGCUGUGGUAUUUGCUUUAAAGCUUUGGCGCCACUAUCUCUACGGCGAGCGUUGCGAAGUGUACACAGAUCAUAAAAGUUUAAAGUAUCUGUUUACUCAGAAGGAGUUAAACUUGAGAUAACGUAGAUGGUUGGAGUUGCUCAAGGAUUAUGAUUUGACUAUCCUCUAUCAUCCAGGAAAAGCUAAUGUUGUAGCAGAUGCUUUAAGUCGAAAAUCGACGAAAAAUUUGGCGAUGUUGUUAACUUUGCAACCACUGUUGGUAAAAGAAAUGGAGCAGCUGAAUUUGGAAGUUGUAGCUCCUGAUAUGCCUUGGAGACUUAUGUCAUUAGUAGUGCGACCUACCCUGAUCGAUCGAAUUAAAGAAAAGCAAAUUCAGGAUAAAUUCCUGCAAAAGAUUCGAGCAAAGAUCACUGCUGAUCAUGUUAGUGAUUUUCGAGUAGAUGAUCAGGGACUGUUGAAAUUUGGUGAUCGACUUUGUGUACCGGCAGAUUCUGGUAUUAAAGAAGAGAUUCUAGAAGAAGCACAUCGGGCGCUGUAUACUGUACACCCUGGGAGUACGAAAAUGUAUAAAAAUUUGAAGUUAACUUACUGGUGGUCUGGAAUGAAAAAGGAAGUUGCAGAUUUUGUGGCCAGAUGUUUAACCUGUCAGCAGGUUAAAGUGGAACAUCGACUUCCUGCAGAAAAACUACAAAACUUACCCUUACCAGCGUGGAAGUGGGAGAGGAUCACUAUGGAUUUUAUUGUUGGAUUACCUCGCUCACAGGCAGGUCAUGAUGCAAUUUGGGUAAUUGUGGAUAGAUUGACUAAAUCUGCCCACUUCAUUCCAAUUCAUACAGUGUGGUCGGGGGAAAGACUCGCACAAGUGUACCUAGAUGAAAUUGUGCGAUUACAUGGAGUACCAGCCUCUAUUGUUUCAGAUCGAGACACCCGAUUUGUUUCACAUUUCUGGAGAAGUUUACAGGAGGCCAUGGGUACCCGAUUGGAUUUUAGUACUGCUUUCCACCCCCAGAGUGAUGGACAGUCUGAGCGUACCAUCCAGACCCUUGAGGAUAUGUUGAGGGCCUGUGUGAUUGAUUACCAGGGCAGUUGGCCACAGUUCCUACCGAUGGCUGAAUUUGCUUAUAACAAUAGUUAUCAAGCAAGCAUUCAGAUGGCACCGUUUGAAGCUCUCUAUGGUAGGAAGUGCAGAUCACCACUUCAUUAGAGUGAAGUAGGGAAGAUAUUAGUUCUGGGUCCAGAUGUGUUACAGGAAGCUGAACCUAAAGUUCGACUUGCACGAGAACGUCUAUUGACCGCUCAAAGUCGACAAAGAAGCUAUGCGGAUAAACGUCGGCGAGAAUUGGAAUUUCAAGUUGGCGAUCAUGUAUUUCUAAAAGUUUCACUGACAAAGGGAGUUAAGAGAUUUGGUAUUCGAGGAAAGUUAAGUCCUCGAUUUAUUGGACCUUACGAGGUGUUGGAGCGGAUAGGCCCCGUAGCAUAUCGGCUUGCUUUGCCGCCGAGUCUAUCAGGAGUGCAUAAUGUGUUUCAUGUAUCUACACUGCGGAAGUAUGUUUUUGAUUCGACCCACAUAUUGGAAAACACCCCGGUGGAUUUACGAGAAGAUUUGAGCUUUGAGGAGCAUCCAGUGAAAAUAUUAGCUCGAGAAGUGAAACGGCUUUGAAACCGCGAAAUACUCCAUGUGAUGAUACUUUAGAGCAAUCACGAUGAACGAGAAGCCACUUGGGAAUUGGAGAGUGCGAUGUUAGAGCACUACCCCUAUCUUUUAUCAACGGAAUCUUGAGGUAAGUGAUCACAAGUUUUGCGGACGAAACUUCUUUUUAGAAGAGGUGAAUGUAAUACACUGAACUUUUACAAAUUGCGGAGUUCGAGUGUGUGGAAUGAAAUGUGGAACUAUCUUACAUGUUCUAAAAGGUUUGGACAAGCUUUUGAACAAGUUAGAGGAUGAUUGGAAAGCUUGAAGCAAGAAAGUGCAUUGAACUGGCGAAAUUCAGCAUUUUCUGCAUUAUGUACCGGUACAGACAUUACCCUGUACCGGUACAGCAAGCAGCAGCAGCUGCAGCUGCGUGGCAGCAAGGCUAUUUUGGUCAUUUCACUUCACCUAUCCAUCCUUAUCCUUCCCAGCUCGACCCUGAGGAUGCUUAUCACUUGUAAGCUCAGGGAAAUAGAAUUUUUAGCUCUUCUCUUUCUCUCUCUAGGAUUUGGAGCUCAAGAGAGCUUGGUUUGGUAGUUUCGGCUUCUUCGACUUCUUCUCCUUGCGCCGGCAGGUUGGGAGGCUGUAGCAGUGUUCUCUUGCUGCGAGGGAACAGUAGUGAAGGUGUUCCUGCAACCCAAAUCAGUUAGUAACUGAUUUGCUUCAAGGUAUAAGGGAUUAGCUCAUUUUACUCUCUAGUUUGUACUUUAGUGUUGGAAUUUGAUGUGUUUUAGUUUCACUGCGCCACCUGAAUCAGAGAGUGGUUUCAGCCAGCUUGAAGGGGUUAGACAGUUGAAAUAUAACUCACUUGGGACCAGAAUAAAUAAGCUGCUCUAAUGCCUGUUAAGGUAAAAUAUAUUCUAACACGCUAUCGGUAACUAUAGUCGCCGAAUAAUCAGUAAGCUGAGCAUUCGAAGAUUACCUCUUCGCAGCAGUUGCAACCACUUGAGGGGGGUCGCUAAUCUCCGUGCACCUUAAGGGAGACAUAGUUUGAAGUUAAACUAAGGUAAGUAAAUUUCAGUGACAAACUGUAAAUCACUAGAUCUCGGCUAUGGAACGCGUAGAGGAUAAGCAUAUCUGAUGCGCGAUUUUGACGAUUGUUUUGCAGCGAGACUUUGCAUCGAGCCUUGAUCAUCUUCAGUUGGCAAUUGGAAGAGGCAAUUGGAGCUUAAUUUGAAUACUCAAGUGACCGAAACACGGGAAUUUAAUUUACAUAAUUGUACUAAGCAAAAUUAGCCGCCGAAGUCGACAUUUCGGCAUCGUCAUUUGACACGUUGAGUGUCAGCAGGAUUGGCUUUGACAUCUACUUGGACUCUCUGACUAUUUGGAGCCUAAGUACUUCAGUGGGUGUUGACCUAACCAGCAAAGGUGAAGCUUCCCUAUGUUCUAUAUGUAACUAUAAAUCCCGUUAGUACCGAUUUAUGAUUAUCGAUAAGAAAGUGUUGGUAACAUACAGCAGAAAGCUUGAUACUAAUUACCGAGAAUAGAACCUCUAGAAGUCAGGGACACUACACAGCAUAAAGACUAGGUUGCAUGUUUAAAGUCGCAGUGAAUGACAUCUAGUACGCAGUUGCUAUGUCCAAAAUAGAGACAACAAUGAUAGGCUUAACUUAUGAUUAUAAACGAGAACCAAAAUAUGUUUAAUGACUAAUAAUGUCAAUCGCCAUGUAUAGUAGAGAAGUUCCCUAAAUGGCAUAUGUAAAUUAUCAUUAUUCUGCAUGUGAUAAUCUAUGACUACUAUUACUCAUACUAAUAUACAUGUGAAAUUCCGAUCAAAGGGAUCGAGAGCGAGAAAUUGCAAGUUGAAAAUGAUAUUGAGACAAUUUGGACUUUUGAAAUUGCUUGUGCCCGAUGUGCGCAUUCGCACACUUGUAGGGUCGCCCCGUUACAACCGCACUGCAAGAGGGGCCUACGCGAGCAGUCUGCCCGCCACCUGUGCGGGAUUGGGUGCCGAAGUGGAUUGCCGUGGGGAGUGUAUACUACCACGGGGCCAUUAGGCGUGGUGCAAGCUGGACUACCUUGGGUAGGUCCUUAUGAAUGAAAUGAAAGUACUAAAUGACAAAGGGCAGUAAUGAAUGCUCAUCAGUAUAGUGUACAGUAUUUACUUACACAUCCAUGUUUAUGUUCGUGUUUAUAGUAGUUGCUAUGCUUCUAUUACUCAGCUGAUUCAUUACUGCAGAAAUCAUUGUUACAUGUUGCUUACAUGUCCAUUAAUUGUUAACAUUGAAAAUAUAUCAUGCAAAUUACUGCUUUUACUUUCAUUUAGUACAUCAUGAGCCUAGUGGUGUAAUUCGCCGAGGCUGGCGGCUUACCCACUGGGAACUAUUGUUAAUAGUUCUCACGCCCUUUUUAUUGUUGUUUUUACAAAGCCAUCUACAGGAGAGGCUAGGGAUCGUGGCAAGGGAGUCGCGUCUAGCUAGACAUUGCUAGGAGCAUGCUAGUCGAUUACCUUACUACUCGGGUUACGGCCGAGGGUGAUGUCCCUAUAUAUAGAGAGAGACCUCCAUUAUACCUACUUUUGUAUACCCCGUGAUGUAUAUGUACUAUUGAACCAGAUAUUGUAGUUGUGAUACUUUCUUUUUUAGUUGAGAUUUUGGACUGUGUACCCUUGUUCUAUUGUUGAUAAUUGUAUUGAUUUCUACUAUGCUCUGAUAUCAGGAUAGGAUCCUUUUAUGUUUUACUCCUAUCGACUUGUUUCUUGUAGACGCCUUAUAUACUGCAGGUGUAUGGCGGGUCUGUGCACGUACCGGAUAUGCUUCCGCUGGUACCCGGGCGUGACACCUUUUGAUCAUAAGGUAAACAAUGUCGAAAAAUUAUAAAAUUUGAUUUCUAAACGUUUUAAAUGGUUUAGAUAAUGUUCAACGGUAUGGAUUGUCGAUUCGGAAGCUCUAUUAUCGAAAACAACUUAUGAGUACGAGGGCGAUCAUACUCAUAAGAGUAUAGUACCCGAACUCAUAUAUAUAUAUAGAAUUAGGCUACUAUACUAUCUAUAGUACCGGAACUCCGGUACUAUAGUCUUGUUUUUGAUCUUAGGGUGUUCAAAUUAAUGAUCCACACCGUUAAAUAUGAUCUAGGGUAUAUGAAGUUCUUAGAAAUAAAAUUUUAGAUUUUUUCGACAUCGUUUACUUAGUAAAUAAAUUUUGUCAAAAUGGACGAUGAAAAUUGAAUAAUCUUUAAAAUUUGAACGUAGGACUUUUAAAUUCAAGAUCAAGAAUGUUAACCUUAAUCUAGAUAGUUUAAAGUAUUUUCUAUCAAAAUUUGAAGAAAUUUAGAUUCUUCUACACCAUUAAACUCCAAACUCACUAUAGUAGCCUUUGAAAAUUGACAAUUUCGAAAUGGUUUUGAUCAUAAAGUAAACUAUGUCGAAAAAAUAUAAAAUUUUAUUUUUAAAAACUUUAAAUAUCUUAGAUCAGUUUUAACGGUGUGAAUUGUUCAUUUGAACACCCUAAAAUCAAAAACGGGACUACAGUACUGGAGCCCCGGUACUAUAGAUAGUAUAGGAGACUAGCUCUCUCUCUCUCUCUCUCUCUCUCUCUCUCUCUCUCUCUCUCUCUCUNUUCUCUUCUUGUCAUGUAAGCACUGCAACCACUAUCAAAAUACCAAAUAUUUUUCGAAUUUGUAUUUACGGUACAGCAAGCAAAAAGAACAUCGGAUUCAACAUAGUUAGCAUCAACUUGAGAAUUAUUCUCCUUUUUUAAUCGACAAAAUCUUUCUAUAUAGUCAUAUUUCUUACAAUAAAAAUAUUGGAUAUUCUUAAAGGUGUUAUCUCGUUUUGAACUAUAGGAUUUCUUGCUGUUGCUAUUUCGCUGAUCUAACCCUCCAGAUCUACCUCUAUCUCUAUUUCCUUGACCAUGAUUGUGACCUUUUCCACGACCACAUGAUGAAGCUUGCCGAUUGAAAUCAGCAAGUCCUCUAUCCCUAUCUUUUGACACAUUCAAAAAAGCAUUCUCCACAGAUUUUUCAUGAGGUUUAUCAAUGCGAUCUUCAUUUGACAAAAGAGAGUCCAAAAGUUCGGUACAAGAAUAUUUAGUAAAUUUUUUUGACUCUUCAAUAGCAGCCACAACAUGAUUAUAUUUAAGAGUCAAACUUCGUAAAAUUUUUUUGACAACCUUUUGAUCUGACAAAUCUGCACCGUAUGAACGCAUGAUGGUUACUAGUUCCAUAACUUUUGAGAAAAAAGAAUGAACAUUUUCAUUUUCAUGCAUAAAAGUGUAGUAUCCUUGGUUUUUGAGUUGCUCAUGGAUCUCAACAUCUGAGACUUGGCGACACAUCUGGAGAGUGUCGGGACAAGUCGAAGUCGUUUUGAAGCAAAUGGACCCAAAACGGACUCAGUGCGAUGCGAGAGCAGAGUUUUGACAUUGAAAUCUUCAAAGUGCAGGUUUUCGGUAUUGAGUACCGGUACCAUGCAAGGGAGUACCGGUACCCUAGUGUAUUUCCAAACAGACUGUUCUCGGGUUGCGCCAAUUUGAUGCUGAGUACCGGUACGGCAUCGGGCUGGUACCGGUACCUAGUGUGCGAGCUGGCUGGCUGAGAGGCCGAGUACCGGUAACCAAAUCUGGUACCGGUACUCCAGCUGGGAUUUUGAGUAGGUGAGGGGCCUUUUGGUCAUUUAUUGCAUCGUUAAUAUCACCCUUAUCCCCACCGCUUCAUAUACGUGUAGAGAGGCAGGGAAUGAGCCUUUGGUUACUACUUCCUCUCUCUUUCUCUAGGUUGGAGUCGUGUGCAUGGUGGAGGCCAUGGCUUGAGCUCGGAUCGACGUCAACGUUACGCCGGAGAGUCGUUCGAGCAUGUGGGCGUCGCGGUUGCGCCGUUGGAGGCCGGGCGAGCGCAUGAUUCAUCUCCUCUCGACUUCUCGUCGUUGUUGGACGAGCGUUUCGAGGUGGGUUGAAGUUUACUGAAAUCGUUGGAUUUCCUCCCAAGCCUAGAUGUUAUCAGCAUGUAAGCUUCAUGUGUAAUAUCAUGUUAGCAGCUCGAUUCACCGAUUUGCAUUAAGUUUAAUAAAAUCUGAAUUUGGAGUUAAGCUAGUAGUUUAAUUUUACAUAUUGGAAUUGGAAUUGAUUUACGAGAAAACAUUUAGAUCCUACACUGUCAUUUAUGAAAUUUACCAGAUUUAGCUUUAGGAGCUUUGGUUUGUUCCUAUUGCUGCUGUUUGUAUGCGGUAGAUAUCCAGAUUAGUGUAGAGUGAGUUUACGCUCGUGCUAGGGUACCGAGCUUAUUUUUACAGUAGUAUAUAGACUAUUUCGGAUUGUCGGGUGCCGUUGCGGUUGACGGUGGACCCAGAUUCCUGUAUUUGCAUCAGAUAUUGCCAAAAGCACGUGAGUUUUGGUUGUUAGAUCAGUUAGGCCCAUUUGCUUUGAUUAUAGCCUGUGAGAGCCUGAUUGAACUCGGCAUAGAUACGCUUGCAUACUCGGUUGGGUAGCAUCCACAAGUGCCACUCUGGAGUCGGGCUUUGUGCAUCUGCGUUAAUGUCGUAGUGUCCAGAUUGGACUUGCUCUUCACCAACUACCCAGUGUGGUGGUGGUUGGUGUAGCUUUGGCAGGCGGGACGGGUGUGUUCACAGUCCCUAGCGAGAUUGUUGUAGAGAUUGCAUCUUGCUUGUAUCUACAGAUAGCUAGUGUUGGAUAGCAAUAGUAUAGUAGCAUGAAGCUGUAGAGUUUUUCCAACUUCCUUUACUAUCCUUGUUCAUACUUUCUGUAAACUUAGUGGGUGGGCCGUUGAGGUCGGUAGCGGUACCCACUGAGGACUACUUUUUUUUUUGCAGUAGUUCUUACACCCAGUUGUUGACCCCUUUUUGCAGAGCCUUCUUCUGCGGUUGCUGCUGUCGCCAAUUCUGAUCGUGGAAAGGGAGUUGCGAGCUAGAUGCUUUCCAGACUUGUUGCAGUGCUAGAAAAGUACCUCCCAUAGGUAGUUUUGGAGUUUUUAUGUACAUAUGGUUGUUGUCUGGGUACUCACUGGGUACUCACUUACCAACCCUUUUCUAUUUUCUUGUGUUUUAUAGGUGAGCACUAUGCCUCGACGUGGACGACCUCCAUUGUCGGCAUCGGGUGAACGCUCCCGUGUGCGACCAUCGACACGGACCCACCUACCACCGCCCGAGACGCUUGAUCAGGCGGGACCUAGUGAAAGCCAGGGUUUGCGAGAGCAGGUAGCAAGUCUGACUGAGACUACAAGGCUGCAGGGAGAGUAUAUUCAGAGGUUAUGCGACAUGUAGGCUCAACAGACGGGUACCGCCCCACGUGUCCCAGAGUAGCCCGCACCCCUGUCGACUGGUCAUACUACUAUACCAACAGUUCCCACUUCCCCGAUAGGGACCACUUCUACUCCACCGACUAUGCAGACUGCACUGCCUGAGACUAUUACUGUAGCACCUACUACUGCUCCUGAUCUAUUUGUAGUCACACGAGAGGUUUCCGAGGCAGGGCAGAAGCGAAUUCGGAUGAGGUUGGUGGAGUAUAGGAGGUUCGACCUACCUCAUUUCCGUGGGUCGAGCAUUGAACCAGGAAUAGUGGAGGCUUGGGUAAGGGGGAUGGAGCGACUAUUUGAGGAUUUGUUUAUUCCCGAGAGAGAUCAGAUAUACUUAGCAGUUCAUUGCCUUGAGGAAGACGCUCGUGAUUGGUGGACGAGGACUCGGAGGUCUAGGCCUGAGGAUGCGCCACCGGUGACUUGGACAGAGUUUCCGGGCAUGCUCUUUGACAUGUACUUUCCUAGUAGUGCGAAGGAAAGAAUGAAGGAUGAAUUAAAGAAGUUGACACAAGGGAGUCACUCGGUGCUGGAGUACUUUCAGGAAUUUAGCCGCUUGUUGACAUACGUGCCGUUCGUUGCGAGGAAUGACCGACAUAGAGCAGAUAUGUUUGAGAAGGGAUUAAGCCCCGAGCUCUAUAAGUUGGUACAGAUUCAGCAUCUCCCGACAUUGGAGGCAUCGGUUGAGAUGGCUAUGCGCGCAGAGCGAGGUGAGGUAGUGCUGCGAGAAAGGGCUGAAAUGGAGCAAAGUAGUGAUAGGAAGAGGCUUGCGGAGUCCGAGGCUGGACCCUCCAGCUGAAGGAGACCACCGAGGUAUCCACGAUCUCGUUUUCAGGGUCGUGGAUCCUUUGCGGGACGGAGACCUGGUAGUAUCAGGUCACCAGGUGGUGCUAGGCAGCAGCAACAGCGACAGGGCUAGAUACGAUGUGUGAUUUGCGGAAGUAAGCACCAGUCGCAGAUUUGUGCUCAGCGGGAUGGUCGAUGCUAUCAUUGCGGCCAGGUAGGACAUCGAUGGGCCACUUGCACCCGAGGAGCUUCACCUGCCCCGUCGACACCUGCCCCGUCGACAGCUUCUUUUCCUUCGACUUCUCGUCAGAUGGCAGGAGUUCCACCCACCUUUACAUCAGAUCGAGCUCCAGCUUUACGCCCAGUAGAGAGACAGCCGCCAGCACUGAGUGGACGAGUUUAUACAGCACAGGUUGAGGAUUCAUCUGCGGCCGAUACGGUGGUUGCAGGUAUUACUUUGAUUUCUAGUAUUAAAGCUCGUACUUUAUUUGACACCGGUGCAUCACAUUCUUUUGUGAGUCGAGCAUUUGCACUAUUGCAUGGGUUGGAGCAUGAGUCGUUGACACUUUCACGUGAGGUACAGAUUCCUGAGCAUACAUUGCAUGUAGAUGAGUGUUGUCGAUCUUGCCCAGUUCAGUUAGAUCGCUGGAUUAUGCCCGCGGACCUCUUGGUCCUAAGGCAAUUACGGGAUUUUGAUGUUGUGUUGGGGAUGGACUGGCUCACCUGCUAUUAUGCGACUAUUGAUUGCGGGGCGAGAACUGUAGUUUUUCACGAGCCAGGACAGGAGAAGUUUGUGUACAAGGGUUGUCAGAGUACUAUUUUUGCCACGACGGUCUCCACUUCUCGGGCGAGACAGAUGAUGAGUCGUGGGUGUGUGGCCUUUUUGGCAACUGUGGUGGAGGUGCCUACUGCUGUACCGAGGCUUGAGGACAUUCCUGUAGUCCGGGAGUUCCCAGAUAUUUUUCCGCCGGAGCUACUGGGUAUGCCACCGGAUCGGAAGAUAGAAUUUGUGAUUGACAUAGUACCAGGAACUACGCCAAUCUCGAAAGCACCUUACAGGAUGGCACCGGCUGAGCUGCGAGAACUAAAAGCACAGUUGUUGGAUCUAAUGGACAAAAGAUUUGUGCGACCGAGUUUGUCACCCUAGGGGGCACCAGUACUAUUUGUAAUGAAGAAGGAUGGUUCACUUCGAUUGUGUGUAAACUACAGAGAGCUGAAUAAAGUGACUAUCAAGAACAAGUAUCCGUUGCCACGGAUCGAUGACCUUUUUGAUCAGUUGCAAGGAGCCUACGUUUUCUCCAAGAUUGACUUGCAAUCUGGAUACCACCAAUUGAAGAUCAAGAUAGAAGAUGUAUCGAAAACAACCUUUAGGACGCGCUAUGGGCAUUACGAGUUCACUGUGAUGCCAUUUGGUUUGACGAAUGCCCCCGCUGCAUUUAUGGAUUUGAUGAACAGAGUGUUUAAGUCAUUUUUGGAUCAAUUUGUGGUGGUCUUUAUUGACGAUAUCCUGAUAUACUCUCGAAGUGAUGUUGAACACGAGAAGCAUUUGAGGCUUGUUCUGCAGAUUUUGCAAGAAAAGAAGUUGUAUGCAAAAUUGAAGAAAUGUGAAUUUUGGCUUCAAGAAGUAGCCUUUUUGGGCCAUGUGAUCUCCGCAACUGGUAUUGCAGUUGACCCGAAGAAGAUUGAAGCUAUUCAGGAUUGGCCCAGGCCAACGACAGUUACAGAGGUGCGGAGCUUUCUUGGACUUCCCGGCUACUACCGUCGAUUUGUGGAGUGCUUUGAGAAGCUUUCUGCUCCCCUCACACGUUUGACUCGAAAGGGACUUAAGUUUAUAUGGAGUGAGGAAUGUCAAAGGAGCUUCGAAGAGCUGAAGACUAGGUUGAUGACAGCCCCGAUUCUUGCCCUACCUGUAAUAGGGGAAGAUUUUGUAAUUUGUAGUGACGCCUCCCGCACUGGGUUAGGUUGCUUAUUGAUGCAGCAUGGUAAGGUAAUUGCUUAUGCCUCGCGACAAUUAAAGGAAUAUGAAAAGAACUAUCCUACUCAUGAUUUGGAGCUCGCUGCUGUGGUGUUUGCGUUGAAAAUGUGGUGUCAUUAUUUAUAUGGAGAGCAUUGUGAAAUUUACACUGACCACAAGAGUCUCAAGUACUUAUUCACUCAGAAGGAAUUAAAUUUGAGACAACGUCGUUGGCUAGAGUUGUUGAAAGAUUAUGAUGUAAUUAUUCUCUAUCACCCUGGAAAGGCCAACGUGGUUGCAGAUGCCUUGAGCCGCAAAGCUGUGGAGAAUCUGAGUUUGUUGAUCACCAAACAGGCGCCACUGUUGGAGGAGAUGCGGCGACUAGAACUAGAAGUUGUAGCCCUAGGGAUCUCUGCUAGACUUAUGUCCUUGGUCUUGCAGCCCACUUUAAUGGAUAAGAUUAGGGAGAAGCAGGGUGAAGACUCACACCUAGCAAAGAUUAGAACAACUUUUGAUGCUAGUUAGGCAGGGGAGUAUAGUGUUGACACCUCAGGGACUCUUCGAUUUCGGGAUCGCUUGUAUGUACCCGGAGAUGCGACACUCUGUGAGCAGAUUUUGAAAGAGGCGCAUAGCUCUCCUUACGCUGUUCAUCCUGGAGGAACAAAAAUGUAUCGUGAUCUGAAGUCGCAUUAUUGGUGGCCAGGGAUGAAGAGGGAUAUUAGGAGAUAUGUAGCACAAUGUUUGACUUGUAAGCAAGUAAAGGCAGAACAUCGACUUCCUGCGGGCAAACUUCAAAAUCUCCCAAUCCCUGUUUGGAAAUGGGAUAUGAUUACCAUAGAUUUUGUGCUUGGAUUGCCACACUCACAAGGCGGACAUGAUGCUAUUUGGGUAAUAGUUGAUAGAUUGACGAAAUUGGCACACUUUAUCCCAGUUCAAAAGACUUGUUCUAGGGAGAGACUCGCUCAGAUAUAUAUUGAUAAGAUAGUGAGACUCCAUGGAGCACCGACUUUGAUUGUAUCUGAUAGGGACCCGAGAUUCGUGUCACACUUUUGGAGGAGUUUACAGAUAGCCUUGGGGACUCAGCUCCACUUUAGCACUGCGUUUCACCCACAGACCGAUGGUCAGUCCGAGAGGACGAUCCAGAUACUUGAGGACAUGUUGAGAGCCUGUGUUCUUGACUUUGGGGGCGGAUGGUAUCGACACUUCGCAUUGGCAGAGUUUGCAUACAAUAAUAGUUAUCAGUCGAGUAUUAAGAUGGCUCCAUUUGAAGCAUUAUAUGGACGUCGAUGUCGAUCCCCCUUAUAUUGGAGUGACGUGGGUGAACGAAAGACUAUGGGCGCAGAUAUUUUGAUAGAAACAGAAGAAAAGGUGAAGCUUGCGCGACAACAUAUUUUGGCAGCUCAAAGUUGACAAAAGAGCUAUGCAGAUACUCGACGACGAGACCUUGAGUUCCAGGUGGGAGAUCAUGUUUUCCUAAAGGUUUCACUGUCGAAGGGUAUACACAGAUUUGGAUUGCGAGGAAAAUUGAGCCCGCGUUAUAUUGGUCCUUUCGAGAUUUUGGAGCAAGUUGGACCAAUGGCCUACCGUAUCGCUCUGCCACCUAGACUUUCAGGUGUUCAUGAUGUCUUUCACGUGUCAACCUUGAGGAAGUAUGUUUUCGACCCUACGCAUGUGAUCGAUUACGCUGCUUUAGAAUUAGCGGAGGAUUUGAAUUAUGAGGAGCAACUGAUGCAAAUUCUAGCGCACCAGGAGAAAAAGCUACGGAACCGAGUCAUUCCCUACGUGAAGAUACAUUGGAGCAAUCAUGACGAAAGGGAGGCGACUUGGGAACUUGAAUCUGAGAUGCGGAAGCGCUAUCCCUUUUUGUUUGCGGAGCUUCCUUGAGUAAGUUUGUUUGUUUCGAGGACGAAACUUUUUUAAGGAGGGGGGGAUGUAGAAUGCGGACUUUUGUUACUUGUGUAGGUGUGAGAAAGAGGGUGGACUUAAGGUGAGUUCGUUUUGACGCUAAAUUGACGUGAAAACAGAUUAUUUGGGCCAAGUUGUUUCUACGAGGGACUAUUUUGCAAAUAGCCAACUUGUGUGGGCUAGAGUGCAAAACUAGGAGUGUUGAUCUUAUCCCCUCUCUCUCUCUCCCUCUCUCUGAUGUUGCAAACGAAAGAGAAAAAGAAAAAGAGAAAGAAAGAAGAGAAGUAGAAGAAGUGGAAGAAGAAGAAUUAGAGGUGAGUUAUAUUGCUUCUUAUCUUUUCCUUUUCUUUCUUUUUUAUCUUCCUUUUUCCUUUCUUUCUCUUCUCCUUUUCUUCUUCCUUUCCUUCCAUCCUCUUCUUCCCCUGCUGCUGCUACUGCAGCUUUCCUGCCCUGCUGCUGCAGCGGGUACUCUAGCAGCAGCAGUAGCAAAUUGAUGCUGCUGUAGGGGCAGCAAGAAAAAGAAAAAGAAAGAAGAGGAUGAAGAAAAGAGAAGGAAAGAAAGAGAGAAAACGAGAGAGAGAGAGAGAUGGGAAGAAAAGAAGAAUGAGAUGAAACAGUAUGAAUGAAGAGAAAGAAUGAAUUGGAUCGAGUAAUGCACUUGGCGUGAUUCGCACCUCUAACCUUCAAACGACGCUUGCAGGGUGUCCAGGAGCAUGAAUUAGAACGCAUUACUUAUCCGGUUAGUUGCUAUUUACGAUAAUUGACGUUCAAGUAACGUGAAUUGAGCUCGUUUGGAAAUCUCAAUUCUUUGAUUGUAAUUCGGAAUGUUUUGUCGUGUUUAGUGUUUUCGGGCAAUCGUGAGGUGAGGAAGGGUCGCGUGUAGUGCUUCUCUUGCCCGGGACGACGUAGCGAAUUGAGGUGGGUUCCGAGUAGCUGAAAACGGCAAAUUUCCUCUUAUGUCUAUUUUGGCACAAGUUAGAUACUCUCUGUCGAUCCUCAUGUGAAACUUGAAUUGCACAUACAUCUAUUUUCUAUCGUUCCUCAUUUUGUGAAAAUUGAAGCACGAACAUGAAAUUUCGUAUUGAAACAUGAUUAGGAGCAUGAGUAUGAAUAUAAGCCUAGCUAUUGUGACUCGUUUAUAGCAUUUGAAAGAUAUUAGCUGAUUGUUAUUCCUCUCUUGCGUUGAUCAUACUAUGUAUCACAGGAUCUUUUUGGAUAUUUGAUAUUGAGUUGAGACAUGUGUCGACUAGCUCCUAUGGAUAUUAUGUGUUGAGUUGAUCAUAGUAUGAGUAGUUUCUCGUGAUUAUGGAUUAUAGCCUGCAGAUGCCAUCUUGAGUUGACAGGAUAUGUGAUAUGAUACUCGGUAGGGGUCGGUCCCCUCGAGUGCUGCUCUGGAUGCUGGCCAGUGAUAGUUGAGACAGUAGCCUAGGGGUGGCCGUCACACCUGCGGGAGUGUGUCCGCGCACUAGGAAGGUGCAGGCUUGACCGGACCUAUGAGUCGGUCAUGGCGAUUGGGUUUCAUGACUGUAUUUCUUUAUUCUUAUAUAUUGAAAUGACCAUAUAAAAGUAAUUUGACAUGUAAAUUUAGAAGUGUAUAACUGCAUAUGAUAUUCUAUCCUAUGUCUUCACUAGUAAUCUGUAUAUUGCUUUCAUGUUCCUAUAUGUAGCAAAUACCUAGAAGACUAUUUGACAAUAGUUGAGUUCUUGUUAGUUUUAUGCUUUUAGUUUAAUGUAUAUUGCUCUUUUAUUUACCUUUGCUCAUUUAGACCUAGUGGGAAGGUUGUUGUCGUCGCCGACCGUACCCACUGGGAACUGCUAUUAGUAGUUCUCACGCCCUCUUGUGGUCUCCUUUAUCAGUGACAGGUACAUCGUCAGUUGAGCGAGGUAAGGGGAUUGCGCCUAGUUAGCCAUCCUACCAGUAUACUUACUUGUAGCGGACUCCUAGAUAGUGAGCUACCGUACUCUCUUUUGGACUGGCGCGGGCCAGGGCCAUUUGCUUGUACUUGAUUUUGGGCGUGGAGUUGUGUAUCUUGUUACUAAUUUCUUGUUGUUCGGUGGUUUAGCUUAUGUAUAGUGCUUUGCUACUCGUCUUUUGGCUUUUAGUAACUCUUCUUAAUACUUGUAAUGUGGACAAUGGUUUCUUGUAACUCUUGAAAACUGUUAGAUUACGUUUCCGCUUCGUUCGGACAGGAAAAACUUUGUCCGUUCGGAGGGUCUGUUAGCGUCCCGCAGUCUUCCGUUGCGAACUGGGGGCGUGACACUUUUUAUAAUGCUUAACACAUGCGUAUAGAUAACAAUGAAAAAACCAAAAAUCUAAACUGAUUAACAACUUAAAAACAAAUCUAAGUAAAAAAAUCUAACAAUUUGAUCUUAUCUUCAACAGUACUUGGGGAAGAGCCUGAUUACCCUUGACCUUAAGUGCCUACGAAAUGGAGAGAAGCUUGAUUGCCCUCGACUCUUCAUUAGGUAUUUAAUAUGAAAAUGAAACCAAACUAGUAAAUUGGUUAGAGAUGAUGUAAGAGUUAGGAUAAUCAUUUAGGCCAUCGGUAUUAUAAUAUCAUACUUGGCAUAUUAUUCUUUCACUAAGAGGUAUGUUUAGUCAUUUGUAUAUCAUGUAAUUGGCUCAAAGUAGUGAUUUGCAUGCUUAUUGAAAUCUAAGUUGGGAGCUUAAAAUGUUAGUUACAUAUACAUGUUGGAUUUGGAAUUGACUUAGAAGAAAAUUAGCGAUUCUAUACCGUUAUUUGCUAAAACUACCAGAUUUAGCUCUAGGAGCCGUAGUUUGUUUGUAUCGCCGCAGUUUGUGGGCGGUGGAUAUCCAAAUUAGUGUAGAAUGCAUUUACGCUCGUGCUGGGAUGCCGAACUUAUUUUUACAGCAGUGUUUAGGCUGUUCCGGACUGUCGGGUGCCGUUGAGGUUGACGAUGGACCCAGAUUACUGUUUUUUGCAUCAGAUUGUGCCAAGGACACGUGAGUUUGGUUGUUAGACUUUGUUUACUUGACUAUAGCCUGUGAGAGUCUGAUUGAGCUCGAUAGAGAUACGCUUGCAUACUCGAUUGGGUAGCGCCCACGAGUGCCACUCCAGAGUUGGGCUUAGUACUGUUGCGUUGGUGUCAUUGUGUCCUGAUUGGACUCACUCUCAACUGACUACUCAGCAUGGUCGUUGUUAGUGUAGCUUCGACAGGCGGAAUGGGUGUAUUCACAGUCCCUAAUGAGAUUGGAUUAGAGAUUGCAUUAUUCUACAGAUAGUUAGUGUUGGAUCAUGAUAGUACAGUGGCAUAUAGCUAUAGAUUGUUUUUAGUUUCUUUACUAUCAUUAAGCAUGCCUUCUGUAGACUUAGUGGGUGAGCCGUUGAGGUCGGUAGUGGUACCCACUGAGGACUACUUUUUCUUGCAGUAGUUCUCACACCCAGUUGUGGAUCUUUUGCAAAGCCCUCUUCUUCGGCUGCUGCUGUCGCGGAUACUGAUCGUGGAAAGGGAGUGGCGAGCUAGAUCCCUUCCCGGUUGUUGCUGAUCUAGAGCAUACUAGCUACAGGUAGUUAUAGUUUUUUGUUCUUAUACAUACUGAUGUUUGUAUCUCGCUGGAACGGGUAAUUUUGUGUACCAGGAUACUAUAUAUGUAUAGUGAACCUUUGUUUUUUUAUAUAUGUUGUUCUUUUUAGCAGCUCUAUACUACUGGUUGUAGUGUUGUAUGAUUACAGGUACAGGUACAGCUAUCGUUUCUUAUACAGAAAAAUUUUUUAUAUGUACGGCGGUUCUGUUAGCGUGUCCGGGGAAAUGAGUAAUCCGAGACGUGACAUUAAGCUUUUAGAUUGAGUCCAAGCCUAUAUUGUAUGAAAUAAUUAUUUAUCUAUGAAAGUUUGAGCUAUUAGAGAAUGAUAUUCUUAAUCAUUGUGCUCUAUAUAUUCCUUAUAUUCAAUAAUUUAAAAACAAAACCAGGUCAAUCCGGCCAAACCAAUGGUUCCGAUUAUGAGCCAGUCUAUAAAGCGAUUUAGUUCAACCCUUUGAAUCUAAUAAGUCAAAAAAUUAUUUUAAACUGCUUGAUCAAUAACCGGACCAGUAAAUCAGUCUUGUUUUAAUUAAAUUGACCAGAUUUUUAAUUUUAUGAAGCCAUAUUAAAAUCCUACAGCUUAAAACCAAUUUAGCUGUUUUUAUUUUCUAUUAACACAACUUAGUCUUAUAACAAGUUGGUUUAGCAGUUAGUAUUUUAUUAUUAAAUAUUAACACUAAAAUAAUAAUAUAUUUAUAAUUUUAUAUAAUAUAUUUAAAAAUAAUAAUUAAAUAUUUAUAAUGUCAUAUUGAUAUUAUUGGUUCAACCAGUGGGUUGAAUAAGUGAUUUUUGGCCCAAUUAACAUUUUCUUGUUUGACCCAACUUUUAAAGUAUUGCUAAUAUCUAGACUUGGGAUUUUGAUAGCUCCAGGAUAUGAGCUUGAAUUGAAUGGGAGCAAAUCGGAAGUAGAUGUGUGUUGUGAGAUCCCAACUUAGGACCUUCUAAUAUUAUAUGAAACAACUAAUUAUUCUAAAAGCUUCAUAAUAGCACUUUAUUAAUAGUAGAGAAUAUUCAAAGAAAAAUAGGGUUUGGAGGUUUUGAUACAUGUGAUAUGAUAAUACUUCAAGUGUUUGUCCGGCUAGACUAUUAUAGAUAUUGUGACGCCCCACUUUCAAGGGGUCAUCCAUCCUAGAAUUAUUUUAAUCCUAAUAUGCUUAACCUCCUCUUGGGCCUAAUCACUAUUCAAAAUGUUAUAGCCAGGUAAAGAAUUUUAGCCCUAUAUCUCAUAGAUAGGACUAUUCCAAAUUCUGGGGUGUCACAUUCUUCCCUCCCCCGCUUUUAAUCCUCGAAGUCUUCAUCAGUCUCAAGCACACUCACAAAUAUCAGGUGAUAUGUAACUCGUGUUGCUAGCCUUACCCGACCUUGUAGAGAGCCGGUUGUCACGGACAAAAUAUUUCCCGCUGACUUCUCUGAAAUGGGUUGAAAAUGGAUUGAAUCGGGUUGUCAAGGAGACCCAAACCCAAACCGCUAUGGAGAGAUGAAAGGUUUUGUAACCUCUCCCAUCAAUGAUGAAAACUCAAGGGUUAUGAAACUCUCAUGAGUUAUGGGGUGACUUUUGGGCUUAUGGCUCAUUAUGAGGGUGAGUUAAUGUGUCUCAUAAUGAGAGAGUUAGUGUGUGUCUAGGUUCAUUAUAUUUAGGAGCUUAUAAGUAGUGGGGUUUUGGUUAAGGUCAAAACACACAAGAGAGAGUGUGUAUAUGAGUUGUAAUUCUCAUUUUCUAAGUAGUGUAGUACUUAGCUUUUUGAGAGAACCUCUGCCUCUUUCUCUUUGUCAUUUUCCUUUGUAUACUUAGUCAUAGGAUGCGAAGGUCCGGGCUAGCAACAGGGAUGAAGGUUUGCCCAUCUUCUAGUAGGAAGGCGGGCGCUGCACGGACUUUGUGAACAAAACCACUAAGGCCGUGAUAGUUGGUAUCAGAGCCGGUUCGAGGAGGAACCAUGUCUUCGUCGGAAGCUGCUGUCGUUGACGUUGUGCCUGAGCCCAGGGUGACCAAGCGCGGCAAGAGUAAGGAGCCGCGGACUCUGGCGAGAGAGUCCGUCUUGCUUGAUGACCGCAUAGGCGUGCUAGAGGACUCUGCUGCGAGCGCGGAGGAGCGCUACUUCGACCUAUCCCAACAUGUGGGGAUGUUGGAGGAGAGGUUUUAUUUGAUGGAGAUGGAUAUUGUUGCAGCUAUGGCAACAUUCCACCAUCGUCUGGAGCAGUUCAAGGUGAACCUUGCCCGUCGCAACGACGAGCGGGAUGUGUGAGAUGUGCUGCUUCAGGAAAUCAGUGCCCAGGUCAAGGAGGACGAGGACCUUAAGACGAGGAAGGCACUACCUGAGCGAACCGAGGGUGAUCGAGGUGAACCACCAAAGGCGAGCGAGGCCAAAGGUGGGGGAGAUUGCCGUGAUACAGGGGACGUAAAAAGGCGCAACGAGAGUUCAACCCUUACUGCCUUGCAGCUUUACAAUGAGGUGAAGCGCGGGAAAGCUAAGGACCUCGCGGAGGAGGGCCUGAGUAGCAGUGAGACUGUCAAGUCUCAUGCGGCGUUGAAACGGAUAGCGUCCAAGCAAAGUGCAAGUCAUUCUGCCAAGGAGCCUGCAAGGACCAAAAGGCGUUCUGCAGUUUGGCAGAGUACGCGUACGUGUCGCGGAGGACAUGCACACUCGAGGUGUUCUGCGGCUUGGCAGAGUGUGUGUGUGCGUGUCGCGGAGGACAUGCACAUCCGGCUAAUUCUUCGCAUAGCAGGCUCGCUGGGGCACUUGCUCAGCAGGGUAAGACACUAGGUGAUGGUGCGGGGACAGAUGCGGACAUUGGGAGCAAGGCACGGGGCCGAUCGCGCGCGAAGGCAAGACGGAUCGGGCGGAAGGCUAUGCGGACCGAGAGCUACUCGGUGCGCGACGAGGGCGUCUGCGCGUUAGGUAGGGUAGAAUGUCACAGACAAAAUAUUUCCCGCUGACUUCUCCUUGACAGUGGCCCAAAUCUUCUAGCGAAACGGGUUGAAAAUGGGUUGAAUCGGGUUGUCAAGGAGACCCAAACCCAACCCGCUCUGGAGAGAUGAAGGGUUUUGUAACCUCUCCCAUCAAUGAUGAAAACUCAAGGGUUAUGAAACUCUCAUGAGUUAUGGGGUGACUUUUGGGCUUAUGGCUCAUUACGAGGGUGAGUUAAUGUGUCUCAUAAUGAGAGAGUUAGUGUGUGUCUAGGUUCAUUGUAUUUAGGAGCUUAUAAGUAGUGGGGUUUUGGUUAACGUCAAAACACAUAAGAGAGAGUGUGUAUAUGAGUUGUAAUUCUCAUUUUCUAAGUAGUGUAGUACUUAGCUUUUUGAGAAAACCUCUGCCUCUUUUUCUUUGUCAUUUUCCUUUGCAUACUUAGUCAUAGGACGCGAAGGUCCGGGCAAGCAACAGGGACGAAGGCUUGCCCAUUUUCGAGUAAGAAGGCGGGCGCCGCAUGGACUUUGCGAACAGAACCGCUAAGGCCGUGACACGGUGCUCUAUACACAAAGGUUGUCAACCAGGGAUCUGCGCUUUACGCGCUAUAUGAUUUUAACUCAGCCGAGACUUAUCUCAUACUUCUAGUUGGUGAUUGGCUCUGCUACCAACUGUGAUGCCCCGUUUUUCUGGGAGUUACCAAUCCUAGAACUACUUUAGUCCUAACAUGUUCAACCCUCUUAACCUCUUAGGCUUAACCAAAGCCCAAAAUAUUAUAACCUGGUUAAGAGGUUUAGCCCUAUAGUAUCUCACAGAUAUGACUAUUGACUAUUCCAAAUACUGAGGUAUCACAUUCUUCCCCAUUUUAAGACCUGAUGUCCUCGUUAGGCUUCAGCACACUCACAGGCAUCAGGGGAUGUGAGACUUGUAUUGUUAACCUUAGCGGAGACUUAUCUCACACUUUUUGCUUCCUUGGUGGUAUUCUAGAACUACUCUUGUCUUAACACGUUUAAUUCUUUUAACCUCUCCGGUUUAGCCAAAGCCAACAUGUUAUAGCCGGAUUAAAAGGUUUAGUCCUAUUAUAUCUUAUAGAUAUUCCAAAUCCUAGUGUCACAGAUAUGGAUACUAAGUGUUGAUUAAGUAAAAUUCUUAAGAUAAUUAAACAAUUUUUAGCUUUAAGUGAAGAAAAUUUUAUGCCGAAGCUUUUAGGUUAUAUUUGGAUGUUGAAAUAAGAUAUCUAUGAUAAUUAAGUUAUUCAGCGUGAUCUUGUAAGCUCUUGACUUUCAUGUUUUCCUAGAAUAGCAUAUCUCAUAUAUGAAGUAAUUAAUUAAGCUUAUUCCAAAAAAUGACUUAAAGUCGAAUAUGAUAUUUAUUCUAGACAUUUUUUCCGUCCUCAUCUACUAAAUAUUACGUGCUCCUUGUGUAAAUUGAAAGAAUAUACAGAAUAAUAUAUAUUCAUGUAUCCGAACAAGAUCUUAAUUAUCCGAAAACUUAUAUAUUUAUGCAUUUUGCUUUAAACCUCAUGAUUUUUUUUUUAGAUGUAAAGAAAAUUUAUUCUAAAAACGUUGAAUAAG
rnacentral:lncRNA from 1 species